rnacentral:lncRNA from 1 species
ACUUUAACUUAAUAUAAACUAGUGAAGGACCCGCGCUUGCGGCGGAAUGAUUUCGUAGAAAUAAAUAUAUAAAUAAAAUUAAUAAUAGUAAAAAAAAAGAGUCAAAAAAUUAAAUAAAAAAAUAACUAAAAAAUAAACAACUAUUGCUCUAAUAAAAAUAUAAAAAUAAAUUAUAAGAAAGAUUAAAAAAAAUAAAGGCAAAAAUCAUACUAAUAAGAAAUUAUAUAUAAUUAUAUUUAUAAUUAUAUAUAUUAUAAUUAUUAUUAUAAUUAUAUAUAAUUUUUAGAAAAAAUAAUUUAUUGUUCUUAUAUUUUUGCCUCUAUUCUUCUUUUAUCUAUCUUAUCCUUUAAUUUUUAUUUUUUUUUAACUUUUUUAAUGUUUCAUUUUUAAAUUUUCUUUCUUCUUUUUUAUAUAUUUUUAAUAAUUUUUUUANUGCGCCAGCCUGCCCGCGCCCCACCACGCGUGCCCGCCUCUCCCUCUCCUCUUCCCGCGCCACGCGGCGCCCCGCCCCGCGCGCCUGCUCGCCGGUAGCACGCUGCGCCCCGCCCCGCGCGCCCGCCUGCCCGCGCCCCGCGUGCCCGCGCCACGCGGCGCCCCGCCACACGCGCUUGCCUACCCGCGCCCCAUGCUCGUGCUCGCCGCCGCCCGAGCCUCCGCUCGCCGCCACCUGUCCCAAAACUAAAGAUUCAUAUAUACUAUAGAUAAUAAAGUUUAGUUUCGAGUUCUCCUUUCUUGGAGCAUUGGCGGGGCCCACCCAGUUUCUCCACUCCCCUCUCUCUCCCAUUACUUUUUCCUUUCUAUUUUUUGUCUGCAUCACGUCUAAAAAUUCUUCCAUGAACAAAAAGAAUAAUUUUUUAAUAAUUUAUAUGAUAAACUAAAAUCUAAUCUAAUAACUGCAAUCUAUAAUAUAUAAAAUAUCUAAAUACAAAAUUACUGAAUUUUUACUUUAAUAAUAAAAUUUCAUAAAUACAAUGUAAAAAAAUAGUUAUAUAUCUGAUUGAUUUAUUUUUUAUAAAUAGACAGUUGUUGUGAAUCUUUUAUUUUUUGUAGUACGCUAAUUUGUGUUCUUUUAUUAUUUUAAUUAGGUAAUACUUUAUAGGUCCUAAUUAAAUCAUUAUCCUCAUCCAAUUUUUUAAUUUAUUAAAAUUUAAUAAAAUUAUUAAUUUUUAGAUAUUUAGAUGUCAAAUAUAUAUUCAUAUAAAAAGUAUACAAGUGGUAAUUUUCUUUCAGAGGAAACAAGUGGUUCAUCCGUCCCAAUCCAUGACGUUCAUAAUGUUACCAACAGGGUGGAAAAAAUCAAACUACUUUAUGGUAAUAUGUAAUAUUUGGCUUUAUUUUUUUAGAAAUAAAUUUAGCUGAAAAUAUGAUUCGAAAUUUAGACUUCGGGUAUUAAUUAACCACCAAAUCCUUUACAACUUGCAGUAGGAACGGUAAGUAAUAUUAGAAUAAAAAAUGGGCUAGUAUUUGAUUUAGUAAUUUAAAUUUAACAUCUUUUAGAUUCUUAUACUUAAAGUAAAAUUAAAAUAUUAUUAAUAGCAAAAGAAAAGUAUUUGCUACCUAUAUCAUAGUUUUUUAAUGCAUAGAGUUAAUUAUUUGGCGUGAUAUGUGCUAUUAUAAAUUGAAUGACUACAAAGUUAACAUUAAAUACUUUUAUUUACUAUCAAUAGUAUUAUAGAUGUACUCUUUUAUGCAUAUAAUUAACAAAAAGAAAAAUUAAUUACACCAUUUGGCCCAAACAUUUGUUCUUAUUUUGAUUUUAGACUUAAGAUUUUCUCAGUUAAAUUCUUAAACUAUAUUAUUUGUUUUGAUUAAGUCCCACUCAUCAAAAAGUUUAAUAAUUUUGAUAAAAUUUGUAGUAAAUAUAAUUUUAAAAUAAUAUGCAAUUCGCAUCAAAUUUUAGUACAAGAUUUUUAUUGAAGGACCCAAGAAACGCUUGGUUACAAAAUAUUUUACAAAGUCGAGAGUCACAAUAGAAAUCUCACGAUAGAGAACAAUAGAAAGACACAACACCGUAGAUUAUUAAUGCUGGUUUAUUAGUAAUAUGUUAUAAGACGUGUUUCAAUCACUCGCUACGUGCUGGCUUGCUCCCUCCUUCCACUUAUUGGCAACUCCCUGCAGCACCUUGUACGAGGACCCGCCCGGCGGCGCGAGUGCCCGCGACGCCGCCUCCUGCAGCUCCUUGGCGCGACGGCGCAGCGCCUUGCCCUUCUCCCCCUGCAUCAAUUCCUUCGCCGCCGCCGCGAUCUCCUCCCUGCCGACGAUGCCGUAGGGCUCUCUGGCCCGCGGCCUGAUGGUGAUUCCGACCGCCUCGGCGAGCAGCACGGCAUUCAAGCGCUGCUCAGCGUAGAGCGGGUGCGCGAUCAUCGGCACGCCAUGCACAGUGCUCUCCAGCGUCGAGUUCCACCCGCAGUGCGAGAAGAAGCCGCCGGUCGCGGCGUGGGCCAGCACACUGACCUGCGGCGCCCACGACAGCACCACAAAGCCCACGUCCUUUGUCCGUUCCAAGAAGCCCUCGGGAAGGUACUUCGACGGAUCGUCCUUGUUUCCUAACAUCAUUUAUAAAUAAAUUCAUUACACUAGUCUUGACCUACUCGAUCACAUGUAGUCUUUAUUAUUAAAUUUUUUAAUAUUCAUUUCUAAUAGUUAAAAAAUUAUUAUGACAAUAAAAUUUUUUAAUUUUAAACAGCAAAAAUCGAUAUAUCAAGUCUAACUAACAAUUGAGUUCUGCAACCAACUUUGGUCCACCACAGAAAUAACUUACAUGCUAAUUAAAUUGGAGUACGACAAAUUGUAAAAACUCUAUACUAAUAAAUCAAAACUGUAUAUAUUAUAAUGCCAGCACAUCAUCAAAUUUUAUAGCAAUAGUUUAGUACCUGUUGUGAUGAAAGCGGUGUUCUUUUCUUUGUCAUUGGGACACCUGACAACCCAAAGGAAGCGCUGCCCGCUGGCCUCCAGCCCAAGUGCCAUCUCCUGCAUCUGCUCCGUCGAGAGGGAGCCGCCACUUCCGAAAGACACGAAUAAAACCGAGUCGGCUGGCUGCCGGUCCAGCCACUCCAGGCAGCCCGACUCGUCCGUCUCGUCCGAACCGGACCGGACCAUCGGACCCACCAGGUGGACCGGCGGCCUCCCUGCUUCCACUUGCUCCUCCUCUCUGAUGGCUUUCAGCACCUCUGGCUCCAUCUCCUCAAAGCUGUUCACCAGAAUUCCGGCUGCGUCGCUGUACCUGCAAAACCACUCAUUACUUCGAUAAUUCAAUUGUAUUCGAACUCAGAAUCCAUUAUUUUAUUUAAAAUUAUGAAUUAUUCUAGAAACUUACGUUACUAGAGAACGGUGUUUCUUACUUGCUCAUGAUCCGGAUGAACGGAGCGUACAUGGGGUGUGACUUCUUGCGGAAGGGGUCGGGAAAGUCCGUCCCGCGUAAGGUGACGCAGCCGGGCAGGCGGACGGGGUCGGGGAGGUCUUCGAAGUCGACGUCGAUGGUCUCGUCGAGCCGGGGCAGGUGCAGCCCGAGGGUGAGCCUCGUAAGGUUGGAAGUGAAAAAUAUGUAGCCCGGCACGCCGAGCUCCCUCACCAGCGACAGCGUCUCGGAUCCGAAAAGGUCACAGACGAAGGCGGCGGCGGGGUUUUGGAAGGAGAGGAAGGCGUCGCGAAGGAGGGGGAGGCAUCGGGCGAGGAGGACGCAGAGAUGGACUCCGAUCGGGGAGUCGGGGGGGAGGUCGGAGAGGGAGAUGUAGGGGAGGGAGACGGAGGAGACGGAGUCGGAGGGGAGGGAGGAAAGCAAGGCGGCCUGCGCGGGGGAGUCGAAGUUGGAGAAGGUGAGGAGGGUGGCGGAGAAGCCGUGGUAGGCGGCAAGCCGGACGGCGAAGUCCGCAAGUGGGAUCACGUGGCCCAUUCCCGGCGACGGGAGCAGGACCACGUGAGGCCGCUGGCUCUCAUUCCCCUCGACAGCCAUACGAUUAAUGUGGUAAUAUUUGUGUGACUGUCGUACAGUGCAGAACAGAGAUACGUUUGGAGCUCUCUGCUGUCAGACUAUAUAAGUUUGAGUUGUGUUGUGUUUGUAUUGUGGGCUGAAGAUGUUGCAGGAACCUUCUCAAUUUAAUAAUACAUAAAUAGAAUAAUAAAUUUUAUUUUUUUGACUAUUUAUUGCAUCUUAGAAAGCAAUAUGUUACAUAAGUCAAAAAGUAACAGACAUGGUAGAUCAACUUGAUCAAAUUAUUAUUAUUAUGUACAAAAAUUAAAAGAUGCUAACCUAAUUUGUUAGGUAAGAUGAAUCUUAUAAUAAUAUAAAAUUAAGCUUACUUCCUAAAAUAAAAUGUAAUUUGUAUGUGCAUAAUUACUAACGAGCAGUGCGUACAUCUUUUUAAUAUGUUGGUACAUCAAAAUAUUUCUCAUUCUAUGAACUUCUUUUCAACCAGUAUUAUUAAAAUACUUUCCUGAACUUUUUUUUGUUUUGAGAAAGAGAUAGACAAGUUACCUGCUUCAUUCAUUGAGAGAUGUACUAAACGUACAGUAUAGAAACAGUUAAGAGUUCCGAGGCAAGCCGAACAGGAAAAAACAGAAAUCGGAAAAGACAAAAAACAAAUGAAGGUAAAAAGGAUAAAAAAGAUGUUGCAUGUAGGGUGAUUACAGAGUUUCAGCCCAGGACUUCGUUAGUAGAACAAUGCGCUCGAGAGCAUGUGUGGCGUUGGGGGUCUUCGAGCGAAAAAAUAAGAUUGUUCCUUUCCAUCCAGACAACACACCAAGUAGCCGUCAUGGAGGAUAGGGCCUUUAAUUUUUGCUUCGUUAGUAGAACAGUGCCCUCCUAAACUUUUAAUUUCAGUUGCUAAAUCAACCAAUUUUAUUAAUCCUCUUCCUCAAAUAAAAUUAUUAAUUAAAUAAUGAUGCUAAUUGAUAAAUUAGCCUCAAAUUGCUAUAAUUACUUUACUUUUGUACCUACGCUUUGGGAACAAAUAAUAUCUUUAUUUAUGUAUACAAUUGAUGUUUACCUUAUUUAUCUAUAGACACAUCAACAAUAUCAACAAAAUAUAUAUAUAUAUAUAUAUAUAUAGAGAGAGAGAGAGAGAGAGAGAGAGAGAGAGAGAGAGAGAGAGAGUUGGACUGGGCUAGCAAAAUUCUAUUGUUGCUACCAGUUUUUUAGCCUUUGGAUUAACUCUUUUCAUUAUUUCCAACUAUUAGAUUAAAUACUAUAACCCAGUGGGGACCACUCAACCCUAAGGAGACCGUUCAACUCUAAUCGACUAAUAUCAUCUCGAUCCUACAAUUUUUCAUCCAACCGUUAAAACUUGAUAGCAAAAAUAACGUUUUACUAUUAAUAGUAUUCCAGCCUAAUUAUAUAUAUAUAUAUAUAUAUAUUAGGCAUUCAAAAUAUUUUUCUAAAAAAAUAUUAGAAAAGAUGGAUUAAAUACCUUACAUCCGAUUUAGAUUUAUGACCUUCUAUCAUAAUAUGGUGGGCAUACAUGUUACUAAUUAAUUAGUAAUUACUCUGCCGAAUACAUUUUGAUCCUGUUCCAACUUUGUUUUGUAUCUUUCCUCAUUUUGUAGUUGAUUAAUUACCUUAUAUUCCAAUAAUUACUUUUCUCCUCCCAUUUUGCUCAUGUUUUAUGUUGGGGUCUAAAAAAGAUUCUACGUGUUAUAUUAAUAUAUAUUAUUGUUGGAAAUAAUAAUCCAAACUUAAUAAAAAUAUAGUUAUAGAUAAGUUUAAGUCUUUAUUUGAUUAUAAUUAAGAGUUGUAGUUAUCCAAAGUAAAAUUGGAUUUAUCAUCUGUUAUGAUUUGAUGGCUAUAUAUAGUUUUUUUUUUUUUUAAGAGAUAGGUAGCACGCUACCCUCGUUUAUUUCAUUUAGAAAUAACUUAGCUGGAAAUGUGAAUCAACUAGGAUUCGAACUUGGGUUUCGGGUACUAACCACCAAGCCCUUUGCCACUUGCUCUAGGGACGGUCGAUGAUGGCUAUAUAUAGUUACGCAUAGGUUAAUUAGAUGAAUAAGUCACAGUAGACAUGGCUGCAUAGGAUGUAAUUAAUUACUUUUUAUUAAUAAAGCAUUAGUUUAGUUAUCUUCUUCCUCCUUCAAUAUUUCUUCUCUAUAUUAUUUGUUCUAUUUCAGAUUUUGGAUUAUAUAAUCGGUAUCUGGACAAGUAUCGAUCCCAACAAUUGGUAUCAGAGUAAAUCAUGCCUCCAAUAAGUGGUAUCAGAGCCAAAAGGUACCAUGCGACUUACAAACCAGAUGACAGCAUAUUCGAAAAGAAUAUAGGUUCAAUGUACCGGAUAGCUACGUCAAAGAUAAGUGACUCAUAGUUGAUCGAAGAAGGUGACGUUCAGGAAAAACCAAAGUGAAGGAAUCGCUUUGAAAAAGUUGGCCUUUGCCCAAACGACAGCAGAUGAUUGUGACGUUUGACGAAAAGAGAGCGAGGAAAGCCCCUGAAGAGAUCUAAGAAGACUUGACCAGAUAGCCAGAAGGGCUAGACAAGCUAUCCGAAAUACAGAAAAUUCUGUGAGAUAUCAAUGAACUAAGAAUGUUAUCCAAACAGAAAGGUACAAAUCUAAACUUAUUUUUCAGAUUUUCAAGUUUCGUUAUAGAUUUAGAUAAUUGGUUUAUUCAACCGAAUCUACCAAAGUUCGAUGGAACAAACUUUAAACGAUAGAAAAUCAUCAUUCGAUAUUUUUUAGAAUCCCAAGAUUUAUGAAACGUAGUGGAGAAUAGAAAUUAUGAAAAAGAUUUUGGUAAAAAAGAAUUUUAAAAAAGAGAUCGAGAAGUUCUAUUAUAUAUUUUUCAAACUGUUAAUCUAUCGUUGGUUGAAAAAAUUCCAACGAUAAAGACGGCAUUGCAGGAAGAGAAUGAAAUUUAAGAAGAAGAAAAAAUUCAACUCAAUGGUGAAGUUAUAGGAACCCAAUUUGCAAAGAAAUUUUGAAAGAAAAGUUUGAUCCAAAUCAUAAAAAAGAUCAAAUCCGUAAAAAGUAUGUUGAUGAUCAAAACGGUACAACGUAGGCUGACGAGAAAAUUCACAAUGAUAAUAUAAUUGAAAAAAUUUCUGUCGAUAAAAUAAUUACACAUCAAAUCAAAGAAGUUGAUUCUUUUUAUAACGUGAAUGAAGAAAAAAAAAUAGCAACGCAAAUAUAAAAUUAAAAGUACAGAUUUUUGGUACGAUGCAAGACGCAAACAUUGAAACCAGAGAACCAAAAAUAUCAAAUUCAUAUAUUUGCAGGAACUCGCAAAUCUUUAAGGAUGAUGUGAAUAAUCAGUAUUACAGCUAGCAAAAAUUUCGUGCAUGGCAACAUCAUAGGACAGGCGUCAUGCUGCACAACUUGAACACGACGAUAACAACAGCGACAGAGAUUGCAAAAUCAAAAUGCGCGUUUCACGGAGUUCGUGAUUCGAAGAUGAAGUUUGGAUUAAGGAAAGAUGUUGGAAAUAAUAAUCCAAACUUAAUUAAAAUAUAGUUAUAGAUAAGUUUAAGUCUUUUAUUUGAUUAUGAUUAAGAUUUGUUGUUAUCCAUAGUAAAAUUGGAUUUAUCAUCUGUUAUGAUUUGAUGGCUAUAUAUAAUUACGUAUGGUUAAUUAGAUGAAUAAGUCACAGUAGACAUAACUGCAUAGGAUGUAAUUAAUUGGUUUUUAUUAAUAAAGUAUUAUUUUAUUUUAUUCCUCCUUCAAUAUCUCUUCUCUGUAUUAUUUGUUCUAUUUUAGAUUUGGGCCUAUAUAGUCGGUAUCAAAACAAGUACCGAUCCCAACAAUUGGUAUCCGAGCAAAUCACGCCUCCAACAAUUAUAGUAUAGUAUAAGGUAUUAAAUGAACUUGAUCCAAUCACUAAUUUUUAAAAAAAAAAUAUUCAAAGUUACUUAAAAAAAAAUUAUUUCUCCCAUCAAUUAUUAAUUAAUGUGUUAGGUGGAAGAUCUGCUAUAUUGCUGAUAAUUAGAAAUUAUUACUUAAGCAUCUGACUAGAAUCUACAAUUAUUUGUAAAUUUUGGUUAGUGCUGUAAAUUGGUUUUUGUAGUCUUGUUUACAAUACAAAAAAGGAAAAAAAAAAAAAUUAUUUAUUUUGAUACGAGGAAACUAAAAUAUAAUAUGCAUAAAAGUUUAGAUAAAACUUUGAUUUGUUUGAGGAAAAUAAUUAAUAAACGUAAUGGAGAGUUACGGUAUAAGUACUGUUCCCAAUUUGAUCUACUUCUAUUUCUGUAUUCAGCUAUAUUUAUUUUUGAUAAAUUUCUUAAUUUUUGUGCACGUAUAGAAAUAAAUGAAUAUUCUAAUUUUAUAUUUUGUUUUGAAUAAUUAGAAAAAAAAUUAAAAGGUUUUAAAAGAAUAUGUUAUCAAACAGUAAUGCAUGUUAUAACCAGAGAAACGCUAACGCUACACUCCAAAUGAGAUGGUAAUUUUAGCCCAAAUAUCUAUUUUUUUUAUUUUGAUUUCAAACUUUUAGAUUUCUUCAAUUGAACUUUUUAGAUAUAUUAUUUAUUUCGAUUAAGUCCCACAAUCAAAAGGUUUAAUAAUUUUCAUAAAAUUUGUAGCAAAUUAAUAUGAUUUAGAAAUGAUGCGGUAAUUUUCAUCUUUAAAUACAAAAAAUCUUACUAGAUUGAAAAAAAAAAGGAUAAAUUAUUAAUAUUUUUAAUUAUUAAUACUCAAUUAUUAAUAAUAUUUCAUAAGACGUGUUUCAAGUACUUGCUACGCGCCGGCUCGCCCCCUCCUUCCACUUAUUGGCAACUCCCUGCAGCGCCUUGUAUGAGGACCCCUCCGGCGGCGCGAGCGCCCGCGCUGCCGCCUCCUGCAGCUCCUUGGCGCGACGGUGCAGCGCCUUGCCCUUCUCCCCCUGCAUCAAUUCCUUCGCCGCCGCCGCGAUCUCCUCCCUGCCGACGACGCCGUAGGGCUCCCUCGCCUGCGGCUGGAUGGCGAUUCCGACCGCCUCGGCGAGCAGGAUGGCAUUCGUGUACUGCUCGGCGUAGAGCGGGUGCGCGAUCAUCGGCACGCCGUGCACGGCGCUCUCCAGCGUCGAGUUCCAGCCGCAGUGCGAGAAGAAGCCGCCGGUCGCGGCAUGGGCCAGCACCCUGACCUGCGGCGCCCACGACGGCACCACGCGGCCCACGUCCUUGGUCCGUUCCAAGAAGCCGUCCGGAAGGUAGUUCGAAGGGUCAUCCUUGCUUCCUGGCAUCAUUCCUAAAUUCAUUACAUUACAUCAUUAAUCUUUUCUUACUCCAUCAUACGUAGUCUUUAUUGUUAUUACUAUUAUUAUUAUUAUUUUAAAUAAUUAAAAUUUUUAGAAAAUAAAAUUUUCUAUUUUAAUCCGUAAAAAGUGUACUGAACUUUCGAACUGGCUUGGUAGGAAGUACUAGAAACUCCUUAAAUAAUUAUUUGAAUGCUGAUCUGUGAAUGAAAUAACUUACAAAUUAAAUAGAUGUGAUAGGCAUCUAUUUAGGAGGGAUUAUAAAUUAAAAUUCUUUACUAAUAAUUCAAAUUCAAAAACUUAAAUCUUCAGCACAGUGUCUACAAUGUAAAUCAAAGCUAAAAAUUAUACCAAGACCUUAGAAAUUAUACUAUAAUAUCAGCACAUUAUCAACUUUUAGAGCAUGCUUAAAUCACAAUUUGUAUUAGUAUUUGGAUAAUUCUUCAUAUUUUUUUGUUAAAAUAAUUAAAAUUAUUAUCAUUCAAUUCAAGUUAAAUAGUUGUGAGAGGCCCUGCUUGGAUAUUUUUGAAAACGUAGCAUAAUUAAACUAUACUACACUAGCAGAAAAAUUAUCCUGUGAAACAUUUGGAAGAAAAACAAAAUAACGUAAUUUUUGAAGUAUAGUUAAACUAUACUUCAAAAAAUAGAGUAAAAUUGUAAUUCACUCUAACCAAAAAAAAAUAAUUUUACUAUUCUUGGGCUCCCUUACCCUAAAAAUGUAUCAAAUUUUAAUUUUAAAUUUCAACCUAGAUUUUAAAUUUUAAGUUUUAAAUUUUAAAAAUUUAAAUUUAUUUUAAUUUUAAAAUUUUAAAUUUUAAAUUUUAAAUAGAAUUUUAAAUUUUAAAUUCUGAAUUUUUACUUUUAAUUUUAAAUUUUAGAAAAAUUUUAUGAAAUUGCACAAUGUGCAUUCAAAGAAUUUAAAAAUUGAAUUCGUGAAAUCUUUUAGAGUUAUAAAAUGUUCUAUUNAUUAAAUAGAUGUGAUAGACAUCUAUUUAGGAGGGAUUAUAAAUUAAAAUUCUUUACUAAUAAUUCAAAUUCAAAAAGUUAAAUCUUCAGCACAGUGUGUCUACAAUGUAAAUCAAAGCUAAAAAUUAUACCAAGACCUUAGAAAUUAUACUAUAAUAUCAGCACAUUAUCAACUUUUAGAGCAUGCUUAAAUCACAAUUUGUAUUAGUAUUUGGAUAAUUCUUUAUUUUCUUUGUUAAAAUAAUUAAAAUUAUUACCAUUCAAUUCAAGUUAAAUAACUAUGAACGUAGCAUAAUUAAACUAUACUACACUAGCAGAAAAAUUAUCCUGUGAAACGUUUGGAAGAAAAAAAAAAAUAACGUAAUUUUUGAAGUAUAGUUAAACUAUACUUCAAAAAAUAGAGUAAAAUUGUAAUUCACUCUAACCAAAAAAAAAAUAAUUUUACCAUUCUUGGGUUCCCUUACCUCAAAAAUGUAUCAAAUUUUAAUUUUAAAUUUCAACCUAGAUUUUAAAGUUUAAAAUUUUAAAGUUUAAAAUUUUAAAUUUUAAAUAGAAAUUUGAAUUUUAAAUUUUAAAUUCUGAAUUUUUACUUUUAAUUUUAAAUUUUAGAAAAAUUUUAUAAAAUUGCACAAUGUGCAUUCAAAGAAUUUAAAAAUUAAAUUCGUGAAAUCUUUUAGAGUUAUAAAAUUUUUUAUUUUAUUUAGACCAAAACUAUAACUUACAAAUUUUACUAAAUUUGUUUUAUUGUGCAGCCAAACAGUUCCAAAAUAAAAGAAAAGCAAUUAGCUAGGAAUCUUCUGGUACCGGAGGUGAAGAAGGCAGCACUCGUUUCGCUGUCAGUGGGGCACCUGACGACCCAGAGAAAGCGCUGCCCGCUGGCCUCCAGCCCGAGCGCCAUCUCCUGCAGCUGCUCGGUCGAGAUGGUCCCACCACUCCCCAGAGACACAAAUAAAACCGAGCCGGCCGGCUGCCGGUCCAGCCACUCCAGGCAGCCCGACUCGUCCUCCUCGUCUGACCCGGCGGACCGGACCGUCGGACCCACCAGGUGGACCGGCGGCCUCCCUGCUUCCACUUGCUCCUCCUCUAUGAUGGCUUUCACCGCCUCCGGCUCCAUCUCCUCGAAGCUGUUCACCAGAAUCCCGGCCGCCUCGCUGUAUCUGUGCGAAACAACCGUUUACUUUAAAAAAUUAUACUGACCACGUUCCAACUCAGUGUUUACUAUAUUAUUAUUUAAAAUAAUGAGUCCGGCUACUAUGCUAUUAAUAGCACAAAAUACUUGGUGCUACCAAAUUUUCCGCCGUUAGAUCUACCCUUGUAAUCAUUUUCACUCGUUAGAUCAUACUAUUCAACCAACCACUCACUCAAUUCUAUGGAGCCCAUAUCAUCCUAACCACAUCUCUUAAUCUAAUGACUAAAAAUUUAAUAGUACCAGUGACUUAGUGUUAUUCAUAGCACAGUAGCAUAGUUCUAAAAUAAUUAAUAAUUAUUUUAAAAACUUAAGCUACUGGAUAAACAUAUACUUAAUAAAAGGAUAAGGUGUCAGAGAACAGAUUUUUUUUUUUUUUUUUUUAUUACUUGCGCAGGGUCUGUAUGAGCGGAGCGUGCUCGGGGUGUGACUUCUUGCGGAAGGGGUCGGGGAAGUCCGUCCCGCGUAUGGCGACGCAGCCGGGCAGGCGGACGGGGUCGGGGAGGUCUUCGAAGUCGACGUCGGUGGUCUCGUCGAGCCGGGGCAGGUGCAGCGCGAGGGUGAGCAUCGUGAGGUUGGAAGGGUAAAAUAUGUAGCCCGGCACGCCGAGCUCCCGCACCAGCGACAGCGUCUCGGAUCCGUAAAGGCCGCAGACGAAGGCGGCGGCGGGGUUUCGGAAGGAGAGGAAGGCGUCGCGGAGGAGGGGGAGGCAUCGGGCGAGGAGGGCGCAGAGGUGGACUUCGAUCGGGGAGUCGGGGGGGAGGUCGGAGAGGGAGAUGGAGGGGAGGGAGACGGAGGUGACGGAGCCGGAGGGGAGGGAGGCGAGGAAGGCGGCCUGCGCCGGGGAGUCGAAGUUGGAGAAGGUGAGGAGGGUGGCGGAGAAGCCGUGGGCGGCGAGGCGAACGGCAAAGUCCGCCAGCGGGAUCACGUGGCCUAUUCCCGGCGCCGAGAGCAGGACCACGUGAGGUCGCCGGCUUUCAGCAUUCAUAUAAUUAAUGUGGUAAUAUUUGUUUGGACUGUCGUGCAGUACAAAAUAGAGAUAUAGAUAUGUAUCAACAGAAAAAGGGGAGUUUGAGUUGUGUUGUGUUUGUAAGAUUUUGCAGAAAGCUUCUCAUCAAUUACGGGAAAAAAGUGUGGGCGAUGUUCUCUGGUCAGUCGUCUUUGGCUCCAUGCGUUGUGGAUGUGUUUGGUGGUGCAUUUCUUUCCCAAUUUAAUAAUACAUAAAUAGAAUAGUAAAUUUUAUUUUUUUGAAUAUUUAUAGCAUUUUAGAAAGCAAUAUGUUACAUAAGUCAAAAAGUAUCAAACACAGCUGGUCAGAGUUGGUGCUGAACUGCAACUCUUGAGGAAAAAGACAAGUGCGAAAUUAUAUAAAAAAACCUUAAUAUUUAUUGAGGAUCUGUCUUUUCUUUUAAAAAAAAUGUAGAAGAGACAAAUGAAAUCCUCAGCAAUCAGAGCAAGUGGUCAAACAAGCCAUUUUGAUGGCACAGCAAAUCUAUUCAGUCGACCGAAUCAAUAUGAUGAACUUCUAAAAUUAAUAAAGCAAUUAAUUUUUAAAUUUAGAAGUCAUUGAUUAUCACUUUUUUAAUAAGUGUAUAUUGCAAUCUACAUUAAUUUAGUUGAUUGUAAUAUAAAAAUAGUAUUGUAAUAUUAUGAUCGUUGAUGCGCCAAAAAUUAUAAUAUUACAUCAUUUUUAUUUUAGCAGUAUAUUAAUAUUUAGUUAGAUAAAUUUAGGUACCGGACUUGGCUACUUGGUUUGUACUUAAUUCCAUACCAUUUGUUUGUUUGUUUGUUUUUUUUUUUGGAAUGUUACUUCAUCCCCUCUUUUGAUGUUGACUAUUGUCAAUUUGGCUUAAAUUAGCGUGCCAUAUCACUAAGAGAAUCUUAUUGAAGAAACAAUGGUCACAUAUGACGUAAUUAUAGUCAAAACAAAAAAGCUUUUAUAUUCUUAGGAAAUUACUUAUGUAAUAUUCGAAUUACCAUCCAAAAGGAAAAGAAAAAUUAACCACACAUUUUUCUGGUCCAAGUGGCUUGACAUUUUCAAAUAUAGUUUCCAAAUUUAUUUACUUUAUAAAAAAUAUUUACGCGUAAUAAGUUGACCUGAGAAACAAACUAAUCAUUGAGUAUACUAACAUUCUUGCGAAAUUAAUACAAAUGACACACGAAAUUAACAGAUAGCACGAUGCAUACUAAACAAACUAUUAAUAUAAAUGACACGCGAAAUUAACAGGUGAUACAAUGCAUACUAUGAAAAAAAUUAAUUCGACAAAAAAUUAUAAUUGAUAAAAACAAUUAUUCACAAAAAUAUAGAUUUGAUACUUUGUUUACUUUUACGCAGCACAAGAAAAUAAAUAGAUAAACCUAAGUAAUAGAUAAACCUAGUUAUCCAAAAGCCGACCAAGAGGUAGGGAAGUUCCAGUCCCCUAUACAAACUUAAAUUUGGGACUCUGUACGCUUGUAUGGGUUUAUUGUAUAACGGCGUGUUUGGUAAAAUGGAUCGACACUUCAGUAAAGCCACGAGUUCCGUCUGUAUGGCAGAGCUCGACUUUGAGUUCGCAUAGAGCGCGAACUUGUUGAUUUGUGAGACGAAUUCGCACGUGCAGGCGGAGUAGGCCCCAUGGAAGUCGAGCUCUGUCGUUUCGUCCAAACGUUGGCGAAUUUCUGUUACGAGAACUAUGCCACUUCGACCUCGAAUGUGAUCAAAACAAAUACACUCUAAGUUGUUUUUUUUUUAGAGAGAGAGAAAAAUAGCAUACUAUCUGUUCCGUUUAUUUCUUUUAAAAUAAAAAAAUAAAUUUAGCUGAAAAUGUGAAAUAAUUAGAUUUCGAACUUACAAUCUCAAGUAUCAACCACUAAAUUUUUCACCACUUGCAAUAUGGCCAGAGGUCAGUACACUCUUAAGUUGUGGAAAGGAUUGUUUGUGCCACUCAUAGACACACAAAAAAAAGGAUUAAGGGAUAUUUUCGGUCGGGCCGGACUUUCGAGAGCGACACCCGAACCCGGCUUGUUUAUGUUUCGAGCGGGGCUUUGGGCUGGGCUGAGGCUCCAACAGCCCAGCUCAAGCCCACCCGUUAAGCUCCAAACUCGGACUUUCUUAAUUUUCUUGUUAUUUUCAAAAAAGAAAAAAAAAACCAUCUACUUACCCUAUCAGAAAUCAAAUUUGAUUUUAAAAUAAUUGAACUAUACUUUGCAGAUAGGAGUUUGUAUGUAGCACUGGACAAUUAAUUUCUGACAAAGUUAGAGUACAUUUAGACUAUGCAAAUCCAGUGAUAUUUUUCCUCCUGUUUUGUCCGUUGAUAAGAUUCUUGUACCCUUCAAUUUUGGCUUUUACCUAUCUUAUCUUAUCAAUACCAAUAUAUUAAAGUGACGGACCGUCCCUAUCGUAAGUGGCAAAAGAUUUGGUGGUUGGUAUUCAAGAUUUCAAGUUCGAAUCUGUCUUGAUUUAUAUUUUCAGAUAAAUUUAUUUUAAAUAAAGUAAACAAAAUGAAUAACAUUCUACCUAUCUCUCUCUCUCUCUCAAAAAAAAAAAAAAAAAGGCAUUACAGGGCUACAUACAUGAAAGGAUAAUCCAAACCAUGUGAACAGCAGAGGCCCUCCUCGCUCCCCCCUCUCUCAGGUGGGUCACACUUUUUUUUUUUUCCCCCCCCCUCUCUCUCUCUCCUCUCAUCUCUCUCUCUCUCUCUCUCUCUCUCGUCUCUCUCUCUUCUCUCUCUCUCUCUCUCUCUAGAGAUGUCAACGGUCGGAUUCGGGCGAAUUUUUAAAACCCGAACCCGAACCCGACUCCAAAAACCCGAGACCCGAACCGACGGAUUUUAAAAUUCAUAUCCAAACCCGAACCCGACCAAAAUCGAAACCUGAACCCGAACCCGAAAAUUUGAACCUGAAAUAAUUAUUUCUUUUUUCAAUAUUUCAAAAUAUAUUAUAUUAAAUUUAAAUUUUUAAAAUACAAAUUCAAAUAUAACAUCAAUUUUUUAUAUAUAUAUUAUAUAUAAUGCAAAAUAAAUUCGGGUUCGGGUCGGGUUCGGGUCGGGUUCGGGUUCGGGUCGGGUACAAUCAAAAUCCAUAUCCGAAUUCAUAUCCGUUAGAUUUCUAUUUUUGAUUUCUAUAUUCGAAUCCAUAUCCAUAUCCAUCAGAUAUAUCCGGGUUCGGGUUCGGAUAAAAUUUCGGGUAUCCAUACCCAUUGACAUCCCUACUUCCUUCACCCUUUCUUUUUCUUUUUUUUUUCUCUCAACAUUUUUUGUUUACUUUUGCCUAUAUUACGUGUAAAAUUUUAUCGCAUAAACCAAUUCUAUUUUUUAAUUGUCAAUAUAACAAAAUUAAAAUUUUAUACGGUAUAAAAAAAUUGCACACCGAGUGUAUAAGACAUGCUCAUAUACAAUUUAUAAUUUGAAUUUUUUAUUUUUGCCUAUAUCAAGUGUAAAAUUUUAGCGCAUGGAGCAAUUCGAUCUAUUUUUUAAUAGCCUUCUCAAGGGUGAGGCCCACUUUUUUUUUCUCUCUGUCACACCCUAUACUUUUUUUCUUUUUUUUUUUUUCCUCUCAACACCUUUUCUUUUUUUUUUAUACCAAAUUUAAAAUUUUAUUGUAUGGAUCAAUCCUAUUUUUUAAUAGUCGAUAGUUUACGGCAGCCACCUCAAAUAAAGAGGUGGGCUCACUCCACUACUCUCUCUCUCUCUCUCUCUCUCUCUCUCUCUUACACACACACACACACACAUACACACACUAUACAAUUUUUUUUUUUUUCUCCCAACACUCUUUCCUUUUUCUUUUUUUUUUUGCCUACGCCAAGUGUUAAAAAAAUUAUACACCGAGUGUAUAAGACAUGCAUAUGUAUUAUAUAAGAUAAAGUUUAGCUUUCUAUCUAUCUAGCUAUAUCCAUACACCCUACAUACUAUACACCCUACACCCCUACAACCGUAUAAUCCUGUUUUUUAAUAGUAGGUAUAAUAAAAUUAAAAUUUCAUACUGUAUAAAACAAGUUGUACAUCGAGUGUAUAAAACAUGAUCGUAUACACACAUGCUUUUGACAGUAUCAAAGAGAACCUAUAUAUUUUGGGUUAAAAUUUUUUUGUACGUAUAAAAAUGCAUAUAUUUGAUUUAAAAAUAUACAAUAAAUGAAAUAACUAGGAAACAGAAUCUGGUCGAAUACUUUGUCAUAAUAAAAGUAGAUUAUACAUGCAUGAAAGUUGUGUGUAUUCGGUAGUUUGUACAGGAUAACAAAAAAGGACCCUCAUAUUUCUGGUAAAAAUACUCUAUUUUUUAAUAGUCGAUAUAAAAAAUUAAAAUUUUAUACGGUGUAAAAAAAUUAUACACAAAGUGUAUAAGACAUGCUCAUAUACAAUCUAUAAUUUAAAUUUUUUUUAUAUUUUUGCCUAAAUCAAGUGUAAAAUUUUAAUAUAUAUAUCAAUAAUUUUUUUUAAUAAUCUCUUCAAGCAAAGAGGUGGGGCCCACUUUUUUUUCUCCCAAUUACCCCACAUCCCUUAUUUUAUUUUAUUUUCUCUCAACACCUUUUUUUUUAUUUUUUCCUACACCUAGUGUAAAAAAUAGGGUUGAUCCAUGUGCUAAAAUUUUACAUUUAGUGUAGGCAAAAAUAAAAAAGAAUUCAAAUUAUAGAUUGUAUAUGAACAUAUCUUAUACACUCGGUGUACAACUUUUUUUACAUCGUAUAAAAUUUUAAUUUUGUUAUAUCGACUAUUAAAAAAUAGAGUUGGUCCAUGUGAUAAAAUUUUACACUUGAUGUAGGAAAAAAAUAAAAAUAAAAGGUGUUGAGCAAAAAAAAAUUUAAAAAAAGAGGUGUAGGGAGAGAGAGAGAGAGAGAGUGAGAGAGAGAGAAAAAAAAGGCAUAUUUUUCAAUAAUUAAUAUGACAAAAUUAAAAUUUCAUCUGAUAAAUACAAUCUAUAAUAUAAAAAAAUCUAGAUACGAAAAUUAAUAGAUUUGUAUCUCUAUAAUAAAACUUCAUAAAUAUUGUGUAAAAAAAAUUAUAGAUUCGGUUCGGUGUAUAAGACAUUCUUACACAUUCUUCAAUUUGACUUUGACUUGACAUAAAUAAAGUUUAGUUUUGAGCUCUCCUUGGAGCAUUGGUGGGGCCCACCCACUUUCUCCACUCCCCUCUCAACCAUUACCUUUUUCUUUCUUUCUUUUUUUGUUUGCAUCAUGUCUAAAAAUUCUUGCAUGAACAAAAAAAAUAAAUUUUUAAUAAUUUAUAUAAUAAACUAAAAUCUAACUUAAUAACUGCAAUCUAUAAUCUAUAAAAAGUGUAAAUACAAAAAUUACUGAAUUUUACUUUUAUAAUAAAAUUUUAUAAAUACAAUGUAAAAAAUUGGUUAUAUAUCUGGUUGAUUUAUUUUUUUAUAAAUAGACAGUUAUUGUGAAUCUUUUGUUUUUUGGUAGUACGCUAUUUUGUGUUCUCUUACUGUUUUAAUUAAGUAAUACUUUAUAGGUCCUAAUCAAAUCAUUAUUCUCAUCAAAUUUUUUUAAUUUAUUAAAAUUUAAUAAAAUUAUUAAUUUUUAGAUCUUUACAUGUCAAAUAUAUUCCUGUAAAAAAUAUACAGGUAGCAUUUUUCUUUUUAGAGAAAAACAGUGGUUCAUCUGUCCCAAUCCAUGACAAUCAUGAUGUUACCAAUACAGUGGAAAAAAUCAAACUACUUUAUGGUAGUAGGCAAUAUUUUACUUUGUUUUUUUUAAAAAAUAAAUUUAGAUGAAAAUGUGGUUCAAAAUUAGGAUUUCGGGUAUUAAUCAUCAAACUCUUUACAACUUGCAGUAUGAACGGUAGGUAAUAUUAGAAUAAAAAAUGGGCUAGUAUUUGAUUUAGUAAUUUAAAUUUAACAUCUUUUAGAUUCUUAUACUUAAAAGUAAAAUUAAAAUACUAUUAAUAGCAAAAGAAAAGUAUUUGCUACCUAUAUUAUAGUUUUUGAAUGCAUAGAGUUUAUUAUUUGGCACAAUAUAUGCUAUUAUAAAUUGAAGGACUACAAAGUUAAUAUUAAAUACUUUUAUAUACUAUCAAUAGUAUUAUAGAUAAACUCUUUUAUGCAUAGAAUUAAAAAAAGAAAAAAUCAAUUAUACCAUUCCAUUUGGCCCAAAUAUUUAUUUUUAUUUUGAUUUUAGACUUAAGAUUUUCUCAAUUAAAUUCUUAAGCUAUAUUAUUUGUUUCGAUUAAGUACCACUCAUCAAAAAGUUCAAUAAUUUUGAUAAAAUUUAUAGCAAAAUUGAUUUAGAAAUAAUGUGGCAAUUCUCGUCAGAUUUUAAUACAAGACUUUAUUGAAGGACCCAGGAGGCAUUGGUAACUUAAUUACAAAAUAUUUUACGAAAUCGAGAGUUAAAAUAAUAAGCUUACGAAUAGAGAGCGAUAUAAAGACACAGCAUUAUUAAUACUGAUUCAUUAAUAAUAUUUUAUAAAACGUGUUUCAAGCUUUUGCUACGCGCUCUGACUAGCUCCCUCCUUCCACUUAUUGGCAAGUCCCUGCAGCGACUUGUACGAGGACCCGCCCGGCGGCGCGAGCGCCCGCGACGCCGCCUCCUGCAGCUCCUUGGCGCGACGGUGCAGCGCCUUGCCCUUCUCCCCCUGCAUCAAUUCCUUCGCCGCCGCCGCGAUCUCCUCCCUGCCGACGACGCCGUAUGGCUCCCUCGCCUGCGGCUGUAUGGCGAUUCCGACCGCCUCGGCGAGCAGGAUGGCAUUCAAGCGCUGCUCGGCGUAGAGCGGGUGCGCGAUCAUCGGCACGCCGUGCACGGUGCUCUCCAGCGCCGAGUUCCAGCCGCAGUGCGAGAAGAAGCCGCCGGUCGCAGCAUGGGCCAGCACCCUGACCUGCGGCGCCCACGACGGCACCACGCGGCCCACGUCCUUUGUCCGUUCCAAGAAGCCCUCGGGAAGGUAAUUCGACGGAUCGUCCUUGUUUCCUAACAUCAUUUAUAAACAGUAAAAUGCGACAAAUCAAGUAUAGCAACUGAGUUCUCCAACCAACUUUGGCCUAUGAAAGAAAUAACUUACGCACUAAAUCGAUGUGCGAAGAAUUGUAAAAACUCUAUACUAAUAAAUCAAAAUUAUAUAUAUUAUAAUAUCGGCACAUCAUCAAAUUUUAUAGCAAAUAGCUUAGUACCUGAUGUGAAGAAGGCGGCGUUCUUUUCUUUGUCACUCGGACACCUGACAACCCAAAGGAAGCGCUGCCCGCUGGCCUCCAGCCCGAGUGCCAUCUCCUGCAUCUGCUCCGUCGAGAGGGAGCCGCCACUUCCGAAAGACACGAAUAAAACCGAGUCGGCCGGCUGCCGGUCCAGCCACUCCAGGCAGCCCGACUCGUCCGCCUCGUCCGAACCGGACCGGACCAUCGGACCCACCAGGUGGACCGGCGGCCUCCCUGCUUCCGCUUGCUCCUCCUCUCUGAUGGCUUUCAGCACCUCCUGCUCCAUCUCCUCGAAGCUGUUCACCAGGAUCCCCGCCGCGUCGCUGUAACUGCAAAACAAAUCGUUACUUUGACAACUCAAUUGUAUUCGAACUAAGAAUCUACUAUUUUAUUUAAAAUUAUCAAUUAUUUUAGAAACGUACGAUGUUUCUUACCUGCUCAUGAUCCGGAUGACCGGAGCGUAGGCGGGAUGUGACUUCUUGCGCAAGGGGUCGGGGAAGUCCGUCCCGCGUAUGGCGACGCAGCCGGGCAGGCGGACGGGGUCGGGGAGGUCUUCGAAGUCGACGUCGGUGGUCUCGUCGAGCCGGGGCAGGCGCAGCGCGAGGGUGAGCAUCGUAAGGUUGGAAGGGUAAAAUAUGUAGCCCGGCACUCCGAGCUCCCGCACCAGCGACAGCGUCACGGCCCCAAAAAGGUCACAGACGAAGGCGGCGGCGGGGUUUCGGAAGGAGAGGAAGGCGUCGCGGAGGAGGGGGAGGCAUCGAGCGGGGAGGGCGCAGAGGUGGGCUUCGAUCGGGGAGUCGGGGGGGAGGUCGGAGAGGGAGAUGGAGGGGAGGGAGACGGAGGUGACGGAGUCGGAGGGGAGGGAGGCGAGGAAGGCGGCCUGCGCUGGGGAGUCGAAGUUGGAGAAGGUGAGUAGGGUGGCGGAGAAGCCGUGGGCGGCGGUGAGCCGGACGGCGAAGUCCGCCAGCGGGAUCACAUGGCCCAUCCCCGGCGUCGGGAGCAAAACCACAUGCGGCCGCCGGCUCUCCUUCCCCUCGACAGCCAUAUAAUUAAUAUCGUAAUAUUUGUUUGGACUGUCGUGCAGUAUAAAACAGAGAUACAGAUAUAUUCGUGAGAAGGGAAGUCUGAGUUGUGUUGUGUUUGUAAAAUUUGUCAGGAAGCUUCUCAUGAAUUAAGGGAAAAAAAAGUGUGGGCCAUGUUCUCAGGUCGGUCGUCUUUGGCUCCAUGUGUUGUGGACGUGUUUGGUUAUGUCUUCCUUUCCAAUUUAAUAAGACAUAAAUAGAAUAUAGUAAAUUUUAACUUUUUUUAAUAGUUAUAGCAUUUUAGAAAGCAAUUUGUUACAUAAGUCAUAAAGUAACAAACACAGUACAUGAACUUGAUCAAAUUAUUAUUACGUACAAUAAUUAAUAGAUGCUAACCUAAUUAUUUAGAUAAGAUGCAUCUUAUAAUAAUAUAUAUUAAGCUUACUACCUAGAACAAAAUAUAAUUUGUAUGUACGCGUCACGUUUUUAUUAUUUCAUUUUAAACAAUUAUUGUAUGCGCAUAAUUGCUGACGAGUACUGCGUACAUCUUUUUAAUAUGUUGAUACAUCAAAAUAUUUCUCAUUCUAGUAACUCCCCUUCAACCAGUAUUGUCAAAAUACACUCCUGAACUUUUAAUUUCAGUUGCUAAAUUAACCAGUUUUAUUAAUCCUCCUCCUCCAAUAAAGUUAUUAAUUAAUUAAAUAAUGAUGCUGAUUGAUAAAUUAUCCUCAAAUUGCUAUAAUUACUUUCCUUUUGUACGCUUUGGGAACAAAUAAUAUCUUUAUAUAUGUAUACAAUUAAUGUGUACCUUAUUUAUGGGCACAUCGACAAUAUCAACAAUUUAUAUAUAUAAAAAAAAAUCUUUUAGACAUUCAAAAUAUUUUUCUAAAAAAAUAUUAAAAAAGAUGGAUUAAAUACCUUACAUCUGAUUUAGAUUUAUAACCUUCUAUCAUAAUAUGGUGGGCAUACAUGUUACUAAUUAAUUAGUAAUUACUCUGCCGAAUACAUUUUGAUCCUGUUCCAACUUUUGUUUUUAUCUUUCCUCUUUUUGUACUUGAUUAAUUACCUUAUAUUCCAAUAAUUACUUUUCUCCUCCCAUUUUGCUUAUGUUUUAUAUUGGGGUCUAAAAAUGAUUCUACUAGUUAUAUUAAGGUAUUAGAUGAACUUGAUCCAAUAACUAUUUUUAAAAGAAAUAAACGAAACAGUUAACAUACUACCUUACCCUCUCAAAAAAAAAAAAUUUGCUGUAAUAAUACCUUUCCGCCGUAUCGUACGGGCCGUUAACUAGUUUUCUAUAAUUUAACAACUACAACUCACGAGGAAAACGACAAGUGCAAAAUUAUAUAAAAAAAAAAAACUUAACAUUUAUUGAGGAUCUGUCUUUCAUUUAAAAAAAAAAUGUAAAAGAGACAAAUGAAAUCCUCAGCAAUCCAACUGGUACCGACCGUCCCUAGAGCAAGUGGCAAAAGACUUGGUGGUUGGUACCCGAAACUCAAAUUUGAAUCCUAGUUGAUUCAUAUUUCCAGCUAAGUUUAUUUCUAAAUAAAAUAAACGAAGCAGGUAGCGCGCUAUCUAUCUCUCAAAAAAAAAAUAAAUAAAAUCCGAGCAAGUGGUCAAACAAGCCAUUUUGGUGGGACAGCAAAUAUAUUUCAUGGACCGAAUCAAUAUGAUGAACUUCUAGAAACAACAUAAAGCAAUUAAUUUUUAAAUUUAGAAGUCAUUGAGUAGAGCUAGAAUACCCCCAAAAGCACCAAUAGGUUGGUGUUUUUGAGUUUUUAGCUUUUUGAUGGAGAGAUAUAGGGUUGAGAUGAUAGUGGUAGGUGGUACUACGUGGAAUAAUACUUGAUCCAAAGGGUAUUAGUAAUUGAAAAGCAUAUCCAAGGGAUAAAAACUUAGAAGCACCAAUAAGUUGGUGGUUCUAAAAGUAUUCUAGCUCUACUCGUCAUUGAGUAUCACUUUUUUUAACAGGCGUAUAUUCCAAUCUACACUAAUUUAGUUGACUAAAUAUUCACGCAUCGUUAAUGUAAAAAUAAUAUUGUAAUACUGUGAUUAUUGAUGCACCAAAAAUUAUAAUUUUACAUCACUUUUAUUUCAGUAGUAUAUUAAUAUUUAAUCAGAUAAAUUCGAGUGCGGGACUUGGCUACUUGCUUUGUACUUAGUCCCAUACCAUUUGUUUUUUUUUUUUUUUGGAAUGUUACUUCAUCCCCUCUUUUGAUGUUGACUAUUGUCAAUUUGGCUUAAAUUAGCAUGCCAUUACAUUAAUAAGAGAAUCUUAUUGAAGAAACAAUGGUCACAUAUGAUGCAAAUAUAGUCAAAACAAAAAAGCUUUUAUAUUCUUAGGAAAUUACUUAUAAAAUAUUCGAAUCACCAUCUAAAAAGAAAAGAAAAACUAACCACCCAUUUUCCUGGUCCAAAUGGCUUGACAUUUUCAAACAGAGUUUUCAAAUUUAUUUAUUUUAUAAAAAAUAAUUACGUGUAUUAAGUUGAUCUGAAAAACAAACUAUUCAUUGAGUAUACUAACAUUCAUGCGAAAUUAAUAUAAAUAACACGCGAAAUUAACAGGCAGUACGAUGCAUACUAAACAAACUAUUAAUAUAAAUGACCUGCGAAAUUAACAGAUAGUAUGAUGCAUACUAUGAAAAAAAUUAAUUAGACAAAAAAUUAUAAUUGAUAAAAAUAAUUAUUCACAAAAAUAUAGAUAUGAUACUUUGUUUACUUUUACGCAGCACAAGAAAAUAAAUAGAUAGACCUAAGUAAUAGAUAAACCUAGUUAUCCAAAAGCCGAUCAAGAGGUAGGGAAGUUCCAGUCCUCUAUAUAAAGUUAAAUUUGGGACUCAGUACGCUUGUAUGGGUUUAUUGUAUAACGGUGUGUUUGGUAAAAUCGAUCUACACUUCAGUAAAGCUAGAGUUCCGUCUGUAUGGUAGGAAAAAUUCUAGAAUGCAACGGGUAUAUUAGUGACGUGGCGUAACAAACUAAUCAAAUUAAUCCUUUUAAGAAUAUAUGUCCCAUCAUGAUUGUAAAAAAAUAUUUUUAUUGUACUUUUGUUUAAAAAGAAGGAAUGUGAUUGGCUUGUUAUUGAUGACGUGGUACAAGUGUGACAGUGUAGAAUUCCUCCCAAGAAAGGGUGUAGGCCCCAUGGAAGUCAAGCUCCGCCAUUUCGUCCGUGAGCCAACUUGUGGUUUUCUGAGACGAAUUCACACAUGCAGGCGGUGUAGGCCCCAUGGAAGUCGAGCUCUGCCGUUUCGUCCAAACAUAGGCGAAUUCCUGUUACAAGAAUUAUGUCACCUCCACCUCGAAUUCGAUCAAAACAAAUACGUUCUAAGUUAGUUUUUUUUUUUUUAAGAGAGAAAAACAACAUACUAUCCAUUUCGUUGAUUUCUUUUAAAAUAAAAAAUAAACUUAGCUGAAAAUAUAAAAUAAUUAGAUUUCGAAUUUAGAAUCUCAAGUAUCAAUCACUAAAUCUUUUGCCACUUGCACUAUGGCGGGGGGUCAUUACACUCUAAGUUGUUGAAAGAAUUGUUNUUACCCUAUCAGAAAUCAAAUUUGAUUUUAAAAAUAAUUGAAGUAUACUUAGCAUAUAGGAGUUUGUAUGUAGCACUGGACAAUUAAUUUCUGACAAAGUUAGAGUAAAAUUUAAACACACAAAAUAAAAUCAUAAUACUGUACUUAAUGAUGCAAAAUCCACUGGUGAUAUUUUUCCUCCUGUUUUGUCCAUUUACAAGAUUCUUGUACCCUUCAAUUUUGGUAUUUUCCUAUCUUAUCUUACCUUAUCAAUAUCAAUAUAUUAAAGGGACCGACUGUUCCUAGCGCAAGUAGCAAAGAGCUUGAUGAUUGAUAUUCGAGAUAUCAAGUUCGAAUCCUAGUUGAUUCACAUUUCCAUCUAAGUUUAUUUAUAAAUAAAAUAAAUAAAACGGAUAACAUUCUACCUAUCUCUAAAAAAAAAAAAAAAAAAAAGAUUAAAGGCGUACCAUUAGGGCUGGCAAAUGAGCGAGCCGCUCGCUUCGAGCUCACGCGUCGAACUCGAUAUUUGCCAUCGUGAGCUCGACUCCGAAAUUAAAAAUGAAGCUAGCUUGAACAAAAAAACAAAGCUCGAAAUACCAUUUCAAACCGACUUGAGUACUUACUCCGCUCGUUCGAAUUAGGCCCCCGAAAAGCUCGAAAUCAUAUAUAUAUAUAUAUAUAUAUAUAUAUAUAUAUAUAUAUAUAUAUAUAUAUAUAGUAGAGCUACUAUACUAUCGAAAGUAUAGAGAUCUGGUGCUCUCGAUUUUUUGAUUCUUAGAUCAAUCCCUUUAAUCGUUUUUUAUCUUUGGAUUAAUAUUAUUAUUACCUUAUAGGGACCACUCAAUCCUAAGAGUAUUAUUUAAUCCUAGGGAGACCGCAAUCAUCUCAACGAUACAAUUUUUAAUCAAAUGGUCAAAAAUUAAAAAACAUCAAAUCCUCUAUAUUUCGAUAGCAUAGUAGUUCUACACUAUAUAUAUAUAUAUAUAUACAUACAUAUACAUAUAUAUAUAUAUACAUAUAUAUAUAUAUACAUAUAUAUAUACAUAUAUAUAUAUACAUAUAUAUAUAUACAUACAUAUACAUAUAUAUAUAUAUAUAUACAUAUAUAUAUAUAUAUACAUAUAUACAUAUAUAUAUAUAUACAUAUAUAUAUUAAAAAAUAUAUAAAUAUAAUAUAUAUAUAUAUAUUAAAAUAUAUAUAAAUAUAAUAUAUUUUAAUUAUAUAUAGGUUGAGUGAAUAAUCUGAGUUUAGUUAAAAUUGGGCCAAUGUUGUUGGCCCAUAAAAACAAACCCAAUAGACAAAUAAAAAAGUAAAAUUUUACUAAAUUUAUAUAUUUUUCUUUUCUUUCUUUCUUUCUUUUCUUUACAGAGUUCUAAAUUUUCAAUAUUUUUCUUUCUCAUUUUCUGCCUCUCACCCUAAGUGGCCAAGCCGGAAGCUCUCUAAGUUACCAAGUAACAUCAUAUGCUCGCCGUUGCCUAUCUUACUAUUUAUUGUAUGCUUGAAAAAACAUAUAGAAUAUUUUUAAAGUAAAAAAAUUAUUAUUCAUAUAAAAUUUUAAUUUUAGUUAUAUAUGAUUGGGUAGUUUAAUCCAAUAUUUAUCUAUAAAAUUUAUUUAUUUUUGACUGUAUAAAUGAAAAUGAAUAAUAUAGAAAUUGAAGGCGGAAGAAAAGACAUGUGAGGCUGAAAAAAUUAGAUAUUCAACUCAUAAAUUAUUUUUUUUAAUAUUAUAAUACUAUAUUUCAUAUAAUUAUUUUGUACUUUGAACUAUUAGACAUAUUUUUGUAUCAAAUUAUAGAUAAUGUUCUAUAUAAAUUAAACUAUUGAUCGUAUAAUGUUCAGAAUUUCAAGCGGCUCGUUUAGGGCUCGAGCUCGCUCGACUUGAAAUUAGGCUCGCUCGAGCUCGACUCGAAUUAAUUUCAAUCCAAGCUUGAGCUUAAAUUUAGGCUCGAAAUUAAUUUCAAGCCGAAUUUGAGCCGAGGUAAGCUCGCUCGAGCUCGGCUCGUUUCCACCCCUACGUACCAUACAUGAAAGGAGAAUCCAAACCAUGUGUACAGCAGAGCCCUCCUCGCUCCUGUGGGGCCCACUCUUUUUUUUUUUUUUUUUCUCUCUCUCCCAUACUUCCUUCACCCUUUCUUUUUUUAUUUGUUUUUUUCUCUCAACAUUUUUUUUUUUAUUUUUGUCUAUAUCACGUGUAAAAUUUUAUUAUAUGAACUAACCUUAUUUUUUAAUAGUCGAUAUAACAAAAUUAAAAUUUCAUACGGUAUAAAAAAAAUUGUACACCAAGUGUAUAAAACAUGCUUAUAUACAAUUUAUAAUUUGAUUUUUUUUUUAUUUUUACCUAUAUCAAGUAUAAAAUUUUAGCGCAUACACCAAUUCUAUUUUUUAAUAGUCUCCUCAAGGAAAGCGGUGGGACCCACUUUUUUUCUCUCUCAUACUCUCUCUCUCUCACACCCUAUACCCCCCCCUCCUCCUCUUUUUUUCUCUCAACACCUUUUCUUUUUUGUUUUUUCCUACACAAGUUUAAAAUUUUAUCAUAUAGAUCAACCUUAUUUUNCUUAUUUUUUAAUAGUCGAUAUAACAAAAUUAAAAUUUCAUACGGUAUAAAAAAAAUUGUACACCAAGUGUAUAAAACAUGCUUAUAUACAAUUUCUCAACACCUUUUCUUUUUUGUUUUUUCCUACACAAGUUUAAAAUUUUAUCAUAUAGAUCAACCUUAUUUUUUAAUAAUUGAUAGUGUACAGCAACCACUUCAAAUAAAGAGGUGGGGCUCACUCCACUUUUUUUUUCUCUCUCUCACUCUCCCUCACUCUCUCACACAUUGUACACCGAGUGUAUAAGACGUGCACAUGUAUUGCAUAUGAUAAAGUUUAGCUUUCUAUCUAUCUAUAUCCAUACACCCUACACACACCCUACACCCUACACCCUACACCCUACACCUCUAUAAUCCUAUUUUUUAAUAUUCAAUAUAACAAAAUUAAAAUUUCAUACGGUGUAAAAAAGUUGUACACCGAAUUUAUAAGAUAUGCUCAUAUACACGUCUUUGACAGUAUCAAAGAGAACUUAUAUACUUUGGGUUAAAAUUUUUUUGUACGUAUAAAAAUGCAAGUAUCUAAUUUAAACAUACACAAUAAAUGAAAUAACUAGGAAAUAUAAUCUGAUCGAAUACUUUGUCAUAAUAAAAGUAGAUUAUACAUGUAUGAAAGUUGUGUGCACUCAGUAGUUGUACAGGAUAACAAAGAAGGACCCUCAUAUUUCUGGCAAAAAUACUUUAUUUUUUAAUAGUCGAAAUACAAAAUUAAAAUUUCAUACGAUGUAAAAAAAAUUGUACAACAAGUGUAGAAGACAUGCUCAUAUAUAAUCUAUAAUUUAAAAUUUUUUUAUUUUUGCCUACAAAAUUUUAUUGCAUGGACCAAUCUUAUUUUUUAAUAGUCUCCUCAAGCAAAGAGGGGGCACACUUUUUUUUCUCUCUCUCAUUCUCUCUCUCUCUCUCUCACCCUACACUGCUUAUUUUAUUUUAUUUUUUCUCUCAACACCUUUUUUUUUUAUUUUUUCCUGCUCCAAGUGUAAAAAAUAGGGCUGGUCCAUGCGCUAAAAUUUUACACUUGGUGUAGGCAAAAAUAAAAAAAAUUCAAAUUAUAAAUUAUAUAUGAGCAUGUCUUAUACACUCGUAUACAACUUGUUUUACACCUUGUAAACUUUUAAUUUUUGUUAUAUCGACUAUUAAAAAAUAGGGUUAGUCCAUGCGAUAAAGUUUUAUACUUGAUGUAGGAAAAAAAAUUUAAAAAAAGGUGUUGAGCGAAAAAAAUAAAAAAAAAAAAGGGUGCAGGGUGUGUGAAAGAGAGAGUGUGAGAGAGAGAAAAAAAAAACCUAUUUUUUAAUAAUUAAUAUAAUAAAAUUAAAAUUUCAUCUCAUAAGUAUAAUUUAUAAUAUAUAAAAAAUAUAGAUAGAAAAAUUAAUAGAUUUGUACCUCUAUAAUAAAACUUCAUAAAUAUUAUGUAAAAAAAAUUAAACAUUCGGUGUAUAAGACAUUGUUACACAUUAUUCAAUUUGACUUUAACUUAACAUCAAUAAAGUUUAGUUUUGAGCUCUCCUUCCUUGGAGCAUUGGUGGGGUCCGCCCACUUUCUCCACUCCCACUUUUUGGUAGUAGGUAAUAUUUUGCUUUGUUUUUUUAGAAAUAAAUUUAGCUGAAAAUGCGAUUCGAAAUUGGGACUUCGGAUAUUGAACACCAAACUCUUUACAACGUACGGUGGGAACGAUAGGUAAUAUUAGAAUAAAAAAUGGGCCAGUAUUUGAUUUAGUAAUUUAAAUUUAGGGAAAACUUCAAAAACCCCCCCUGUGGUUUCGUGCUUUCUCACUUUACUACCCUGUGGUUUAAAACGUAUCAAUUUGCCCCCCUGUGGUUUCGUUUUUCUCUUUUUGUUAUCAAUUUUAUUAUUAUUUUUUUCUUAAAUCAGUGACAAAGUUAAAAUUAAAGGAUACUAAAGUGAAUAUUCGAUAAAUAUAGAUGGUUAUCUGAAGUUUUUUGUAUAUAAUUUAACGAAAUGUUAACGAAAAAGCUUCCGAAAAGAUAAAAAUGAAACCACAGGGGGGCAAAUUGAUACGUUUUAAACCACAGGGUAGUAAAGUGAGAAUGCACGAAACUACAGGGGGGUUUUUGAAGUUUUCCCUUAAAUUUAACAUCUUUUAGAUUCUUAUACUUAAAAAAAAAAUUAAAAUACUAUUAAUAGCAAAAGAAAAAUAUGGCCAAAUUGCAUAAAAAAUCCACUAGUUUUGCGCUGUUGAAAAAGUGGGCCACUUUUUUCGAUUUUGCAGAUUCGGACCGAAUUUUCACCAAACUGACCAAAAUACCCUUAUUACUUUUUCCCUCUCCUCUUUUUUUCUCUCGUUCAUUUUUUUUUUCUCGUCGGUAGAGUGGAGGCGGAGCGGAGGCAGAAACGGCCCGUCUCGCCUCUCACCCUUAUGCUCUCGCCCUCGCCCUCGCCUGCGCACUCCCCACCUUCCUCGCCUCCGACCCCGCCGAGGCCGCACCGCGACUUUUUUUUUUUUUUCCUCUCCGACUCUCCUCCACCGUCUUCGGCGACGACGCCUCUCUCGCCCUUCCGCCUUUCUUGUCCUCUCUCUCUCCCUCCUACUCUGCUGCCUUCGACGACGACGCAUCUUCGCUGACGACGCAUCUUCGCCGACGCCGACACCGUUUAGGUCGCUACGGCGCCGCAACCUAGGGUGGGGGGUCCUUAGUGGCGUUGUCGCCGGCGCUGGCAGAGAGGGGUGACAAAAAAAAAAUAUAGAAGAAGCAAGAAAAAAAAAUAAAGAUAGAAAAUUAUAGAAAAAAAAAGAUGAAGAUUAAAUUGCACCGUUAAAAUAAAAUUACACUGUUUUAAAAGAACGUUGCAUUAUUAAGAUGUAAACUGCAGCUUUAAGAUUAAAUUAUACUCUUUAAACGAAAAUUGCACUCUUUAGGAGAUAUUUAUAUUGUUUCUCCUCUUAUUGCACUCUUUCAGAUGUAAACUGCAUCCAUUAAGAUAAAAGUUACACUCUUUAAACGAAAGUUGCACUCUUUGAGAGAUAUUUACACUAUUUCUCCUCUUAUUGCAUUGUUUCUCCUCUUGUUGCACUAUUUCUCUUAUUGUUUACACAGAAAUGGUGCAACAAGAGGAGAAACAGUGCAACAAGAAAAGAAAUAAUAUAAAUAUUUCUUAAAGGAAUGCAGUUUACAAAAGGAGAAACAGUGCAGCAAGAAGAGAAGAAAUAAUGUAAAUAUCUCUCAAAGAGUGCAACUUUCGUUUAAAGAGUAUAAUUUUUAUCUUAAUAGAUACAGUUACAUUUAAAAGAAUGCAAUAAGAGAAGAAACAGUGCAACAAGAGAAGAAACAGUGCAACAAGAGGAGAAACAGUAUAAAUAUCUCUUAAAGGGGUGCAGUUUACAUCUCAAAGGGUGCAAGAAGAGAAAAAAUAGUGUAAAUAUCUCUCAAAGAGUGCAACUUUCGUUUAAAGAGUGUAACUUUCAUCUUAAUGGAUGCAGUUUACAUCUGAAAGAGUGCAAUAAGAGGAGAAACAGUGUAAAUAUCUCUCAAAGAGUGUAAUUUUCGUUUAAAGAGUGUAACUUUCAUCUUAAUGGAUACAAUUUACAUCUGAAAGAGUGCAAUAAGAGGAGAAACAGUGUAAAUAUCUCCCAAAGAGUGUAAUUUUCGUUUAAAGAGAUAAAAAUUUAUCUUAAAGCUGCAGUUUACAUCUUAAAUAGUACAACUUAUGUUCAUAAUAGUGCAACGUUCUUUUAAAACAGUAUAAUUUUAUUUUAACGGUGCAAUUUCAUUUUCAUCUUUCUUUUUCUAUAAAUUUUUAUCUUUAUUUUUUUUUCUUGCUUCUAUCAUUUUUUUUUAUCACCCCUCUCUGCCAACGGCCACUGCGCCGGACACGACGCCGCUAAGAACCCCCCGCUCCGAGGCUGCAGCGCCGCAGCGACCUCCACGGUGUCGGUGUCGGCGAAAAUGCGUCAUCGUCGGAGGCGGCAGAGGAGGAAGGAGAGGGAGAGGACAAGAAGGGCGGGGAAGGGUGAGAGAGGCUUCAUUGUCGGAGACGGUAGAGGCGAGUCGAACAAGAAAAAAAAAAGAGUCGCGGCGCAGCCUCGGUGGGGUCGGAGGCGAGGAUGGUGGGGGGUGCGCGGACGAGGGCAAGGACGAGCUCGAGAGCAUGAGGGUGAAAGGCGAGGCGGGCCAUUUCCGCCUCCGCCUCUGCCUCCACUGCUUUCUUCGGUGAGAGAAAAAAAAAAUGAACGAGAGAAAAAAAGAUGAGAGAGAAAAAGGAGAGAGAAAAAGUAAUAAAGAUAUUUUAGUCAGUUUGCUGAAAAUUCGGACCGAAUCUGCAAAAACGAAAUAGAUGGCCCACUUGUACAAAAACCCAAAAUUAGUGAAUUUUUUUGUACAAAUUGGCCGAAAAAUACUAGCUACCUAUUAUUAUAGUUUUUGAAUACAUAGAGUUUAUUAUUUGGCGUGAUAUGUGCUAUUAUAAAUUGAAGGACUACAAAGUUAACAUUAAAUACUUAAUUUACUAUCAAUAGUAUUAUAGGUGAACUCUUUUAUGCAUAGAAUUAAAAAAAAAGAAAAAUUAAUUACACCAUUUGCCCCAAACAUUCAUUUUUUGUUUUGAUUUUAGACUUAAGAUUUUCUCAAUUAAAUUCUUAAGCUAUAUUAUUUGUUUCGAUUAAGUCCUGCUCAUCAAAAAGUUUAAUAAUUUUGAUAAAAUUUGUAGCAAAUAUGAUUUAGAAAUAAUGUGACAAUUCUCGUCAGAUUUUAAUACAAGACGUUAUUGAAAGACUCAAGAGGCAUUUGAAACUUAAUUACAAAAUAUUUUACAAAAUUGAGUGUCAAAAUAGAAAGCUUAUGAUAGAGAGCGAUAUAAAGACACCACAUUAAAUUACUAACUUGUGGACUAUAUUAAUAUUAAUUCAUCAAUAAUAUUUUAUAAAAUUCGUUUCAAGUACUUGCUACGCGCAGGCUCGCUCCCUCCUUCCACUUAUUGGCAACUCCCUGCAGCGCCUUGUAUGAGGACCCGUCCGGCGGUGCGAGCGCCCUCGCCGCCGCCUCCUGCAACUCCUUGGUGCGGCACCGCAGCGCCUUGCCCUUCUCCCCCUGCAUCAAUUCCUUCACCGCCGCCGCGAUCUCCUCCCUGCCGACGACACCGUAGGGGUCCCUUGACCGCGGCCGGAUGGCGAUUCCGACCGCCUCGGUGAGCAGGACGGCAUUCCAGUGCUGUUCGGCAUAGAGCGGGUGCGCAAUCAUCGGCACGCCAUGCACGGUGCUCUCCAGCGCCGAGUUCCAGCCGCAGUGUGAGAAGAAGCCGCCAGUCGCAGCAUGGGCCAGCACCUUGACCUGCGGCGCCCACGACGACACCACGCGGCCCACGUCCUUUGUCCGUUCCAAGAAGCCCUCCGGAAGGUAGUUCGAAGGAUCAUCCUUGCUUCCUAAUAUCAUUUAUAAACAGUAAAAAGCGAUAAAUCAAGUAUAGCAACCGAGUUCUCCAACCAACUUUGGCCUAUGAAAGAAAUAACUUUAAUACUAAAUCGAUGUGCGAAGAAAUAUAAAAACUCGAUACUAAUAAAUUAAAAUUAUAUAUAUUAUAAUAACAGCACAUCAUCAAAUUUUAUAACAAUAGCUCGGUACCUGAUGUGAAAAAGGCGGCGUUCUUUUCUUUGUCACUGGGACACCUGACAACCCAAAGGAAGCGCUGCCCGCUGGCCUCCAGCCCGAGUGCCAUCUCCUGCAUCUGCUCCGUCGAGAGGGAGCCGCCACUCCCGAAAGACACGAAUAAAACCGAAUCGGCCGGCUGCCGGUCCAGCCACUCCAGGCAGCCCGACUCGUCCGCCUCAUCCGAACCGGACCGGACCAUCGGACCCACCAGGUGGACCGGCGGCCUCCCUGCUUCCGCUUGCUCCUCCUCUCUGAUGGCUUUCAGCACCUCCUUCUCCAUCUCCUCGAAGCUGUUCACCAGGAUCCCGGCCGCGUCACUGUAACUGCAAAACAACUCGUUACUUUGACAAUUCAAUCGUAUUCGAACUCGGAAUCUACUAUUUUAUUUAAAAUUAUCAAAUUCUUUUAGAAACUUACGUUAUUAGAUAAGAUAACGAUAUUUCUUACCUGCUCAUGAUCCGGAUGAGCGGAGCGUACGCGGGGUGUGACUUCUUGCGCAAGGGGUCGGGGAAGUCCGUCCCGCGUAUGGCGACGCAGCCUGGCAGGCAGACGGGGUCGGGGAGGUCUUCGAAGUCGACGUCGGUGGUCUCGUCGAGCCGGGGCAGGUGCAGCGCGAGGGUGAGCAUCCUAAGAUUGGUAGGGUAAAAUAUGUAACCCGGCACACCGAGCUCCCGCACCAGCGACAGCGUCACGGACCCAAAAAGGUCGCAGACGAAGGCGGCGGCGGGGUUUCGGAAGGAGAGGAAGGCGUCGCGGAGGAGGGGGAGGCAUCGGGUGAGGAGCGCGCAGAGAUGGACUUCGAUCGGGGAGUCGGGGGGGAGGUCGGAGAGGGAGAUGGAGGGGAGGGAGACGGAGGUGACGGAGUCGGAGGGGAGGGAGGCGAGGAAGGCGGCCUGCGCCGGGGAGUUGAAGUUGGAGAAGGUGAGGAGGGUGGCGGAGAAGCUGUGGGCGGCAGCGAGCCGAACGGCGAAGUCCGCCAGCGGGAUCACGUGGCCCAUUCCCGGCGUCGGGAGCAGAACCACAUGAGGCCGCCGGCUCUCAUUCCCCUCGACAGCCAUAUAAUUAAUAUGGUAAUAUUUGUUUGAACUUGUGCAGUAUAAAAUAGAGAUAUAGAUAUGUAUCAACAGAACAAGAGGAGCUUGAGUUGUGUUGUGUUUGUAAGAUUUUGCAGGAAGCUUAUCAUCAAUUAAGGGAAAAAUGUGUGGGCGAUGUUCUCUGGUCGGUUGUCUUUGGCUCCAUGUGUUGUGGACGUGUUUGGUCAUGUCAUUUUUUCCCCAAUUUAAUUUUUUUUUUUGAAUAUUUAUAGCAUUUUAGAAAGUUACAUAAGUCAUAAAGUAACAAACACAGUACAUGAACUCGAUCAAAUUAUUAUUACGUACAAUAAUUAAUAGAUGCUAACCUAAUUAUUUAGAUAAGAUGCAUCUUAUAAUAAUAAAAUAUAAUUUGUAUGUAGGCAUCACGUUUUUAUUAUUUCAUUUUAAACAAUUAUUGUAUGUGCAUAAUUGCUAACGAGUACUGCGUACAUCUUUUUAAUAUGUUGAUACAUCAAAAUAUUUCACAUUCUAGGAACUUCCCUUCGACCGGUAUUGUCAAAAUACUCUCCUGAACUUCUAAUUUCAGCUGCUAAAUCAAUCAGUUCUAUUAAUCCUCUUCCUCAAAUAAAGUUCUGACUCAAAAUUAAUGAAGUUCAUAAGCUUGCUUGUGGUGUAUACGGCCAAGUUCACAUAGCUUUAGAUUAAUAAAUUUAGAUCAGGGAAAGAAUAGUAGAUGAUUGAAUUUCUGAGACAGGAUUUGAAUGUAAUAGUUAUUAGAGCAAUGGUGGAUUUCACAGUUGGGUGAUUGUUCCAUCCCUCUUGUAGAAUUGAGAUUGAGAGCUCUUACCAAUGGAUCGGAGCACCGAAUCGAGAAGCAGCACCACCGAGGGCUCAGUUCGGAUCACCAGGUCGAGGAUCAUCCUCGCUGGGCCAAGAAGGUCGAGGCGAUAGCAAAGGCGAUUUGGGGAUGGGAUCCGAGCUUGGAGAGGAUGUGGAGGAUGAGGAAGGAGAGAGGAAGAGCUGGAUCAAGCUCGGAGAGGAGGGGGUGAGGGAGCGAAGUGGUUGAGGGGCGAAGGGAGAGGAGGAAGUGAGGGAGAGAAGGGGUCAAUGCAGGGAAGGAGUGUGGGGGGAGUGGGAUCGGGUUAGUUUCGGAUUGUAUUAGGGCUCAAAGUAAAUAUAUUUAAUAUAUAAAUAUUAGCCGAUAAAAAUAUAUAAUUUAAAAUAAUUAUUGCUAAAAUAUAAUUAGAUAAUAAAUAAUAAUGAUUGUUCGAUAAUCGUCGCUGUUAAAUUAUCACUAAAAAUCUAUUUUGUUGUAGUGAAUAACAAUACAAUUGCAAUAAGUGCAAUCAAACAAUCAUUAUUAUUUAUUAUCUAAUUAUAUUUUANUUUGAUUCAAAUAAGUUAAAUUAACUAAAUGAGAAUAUAUUCAGCUGGUAAAUAAUGACUAAAUUUAAUAAAUAUAUAGAUGUUAAAGUAAAAAUAAAAUUUUAUUACAUGUUGGUAAUAUUAUUUACACACCACAGAUAAAAGUUGUUGUCCCUAGCUGGUCAGAGUUGGUGGGCAUAAAGGAGCAUCACUGAACCGCACUACAUGAAAUAUAUUUAUAAAUUUACUAAUUGAGAUCCUUUUCCCAGCCUUCCCCACAUCUCAAAAAAUAUAGGGGCCCUCUAUUUUAUUUUAUUUAUUAAUUUUAUUAGAUGAGAAUGGUCUCACAAAACUCAAUAAGGUAUCGUUUGGUUCGGAGAUAAGCAAAAAAUGGCUAUUCGAGGGAUAGAUAUAAAUUGAGGUAUAAGCGAGGAUUAAAUCAAUUUUGCGUUGGAUGAAUAUUAGCUUAUUCUUGGGAUUAAAAAAAAUAGCGUUUGGUUAGGUACGAUAGAAUAAGGAAGAUAGUUGGUUUUUAUAAAUAAAAAAUAAUCAUAUUAUCCUCUUAUUAUAUUUAAAUUUAAAUUUUUAAAUUUAAGAUUAAAUUUAAAUUUAAUAAAUAUAAAAUAUCAAAUUUUAAGUUUCAAAAUUAAAAUAUCAAAAUUAAAAUUUAUAAUUUAUAAUUUAUAAUUUAUAAUUUAAAAUUAUAAACUUUAAUUUUGAGAUUAUAAAUUAUAAAUUUUAAAAAUUUAAAAUUUUAAUUUUUAAAUUUUUAAAAUAAGAAUAGGGGUGGGAACAAUUAAUAAAAAUAAUUUAUUAUAAUAAAUUUAUAGAUUUUUUUAAAAAUUCUACUUAAACUUAAAUUUAAUAAAAAGAAUUUAUUAUAAUACUUAAAUAUAAUUUAUUAUAAAUUUUAUUAUAAUAUUUAAAUAUAAAUAAUAUGUAUUAAUAUAGUAUAAUUAAUAAUUUUAUAAUAAAAAUAAUGUAUUAUAAUAUAUAAUAUAUUAUAUUUAUAUACUUUAGUUUUAAUUCAAUUUAUAAUUUUAAUUAAGUUUGAAAUUAAGCAUUGGAAUAGCGCUAUUCCACCAAAAUGGUGGAACAAUAAAUUCCUUGCUAUCCCGGAAUAACCGGGAAUAGCAAGGUUUGACCGGGAUAAAAUAUCCCGACCAAUUUUCAUCCCGUUUGGCAGAUUAGCGGGCUCAUUUUAUUAUUUAUUAAAUGACAAUGGUUAAGUUUAAGUUGAAGUAAUCUUCUUAAUAUUUCUAGAAAAAGCAAAUUAAUUACUCGAAAGUUUACAAAAUAUUUUAUUAUUGAUUACCAACUUUUUUAUCCCAAGGUAUCGAUUUCUCUAUUGAAUUUUUUUUUAUUUUCUCUUCUUAAAUUGUUAUCUUUUUUUUUUUUAUCUGCUAUUUAGUAAAAUUGUUAUAGUUUUGACGAUAUAUUUUUGUCAGAAAAAUGACUCCGAUAUUUCUAAAUAGUAAAAAAAAUUAAAUAAUAGCUUCAUAACUGAGUUAAACACAAAAACGAUGAAACUAAACAAAAGUGCUUCCUUCUAUUUUAGUUAUUAAAAACUUGCCAAAAGUGCUUUCGUUAAUAUUUUUUAUUUUGGUCCUCAAUUAUUUUUUUUGCAAUUAAAUUUUCGAAUCUCUUGAUUUCAUCGUAAUAAAAUAGCACUGUUAAAAGAGAUUUUAAAAUUAACGAUAUUAUCAUGCCAUCGCUCAUUUAGCUUUUUUUUUUCAUGUCAAUUUUAGUCUUUUUUUUUUACGAAUUAAUCGCAUAUUGGUCAAAACUAUUUCACUAUUUUUUAUUUCCGUCCUCAAAUCUUUUUUUUUUUGCAAUUAAAUUUUCGAAUUCUUGAUUUCAUCCCAAUAAAAUGGCAGUGUUAAAGGAGCUUUUAGAAUUAACGAUAUUAUCAUACCAUCACCUAUUUAGCUUUCUUUUGCAUGUCAAUUUUAGUCCGUAAAUUUUAUUUUUCACAUUAGCUUUCAAAAAUAAAAAGUUUAAAUUUUAAAUUUAAAUAUGAAAUUAAUCUUAAAAUAAUGCCUUCUUUAUUUUGGGGGUUGUGGGGACUCACAUGCAAUUUUUUAAAAAAAUUAAUCGCACAUUGGUCCCAACCUAUUCACUAUUUUUUACUUUGUUCCUUAAUCUUUUUUUUGUAAUCAAAAUUUCAAAUCUUUUGAUUUCAUCGCAAUAAAAUGCCACUGUUAGAAGAAGUUUUAGAAUUAACGAUAUUAUCAUGCCAUCGCCUAUUUAGUUUUUUUUUGCAUGUCAAUUUUAGUCCUUAAACUUUAUUUUUCACUUUAGUUCCCAAAAAUAAAAAUUUAAAAUUUUGAAUUUAAAUUUGAAAUUAAUCGUAAAAUUUAUUCGAAAACUUAUGAGUACAAAGAGGUCUAUAAUCAUAAGAGUAUAAUAGCUUAACUAUAUAUAUAUAUAUAUUGAUUUUAAUAAUAAUAAUUUACUAUAACAAUAAUCGAUCGUCCCUAGCGCAAGUGACAAAGGGCUUAGUGAUUGAUACCCAAGGUCCCAGAUUCGAAUUCUAGUUGAUUCACAUUUCCAGCUAAGUUUAUUUCUAAAAAAAAUAAAUGAAACAAAUAGCAUGUUAUCUUUCUCUCUAAAAAAAAAAAAUACUAUAAUAAUACUUUCCCGCUUCUUUUUCAAAAAAUAUUAUAAUAAUAUCUUUCCACUGCAUUCCGCGGGCUUAACUAGUUUUGUAUGAAUUAACAACUACAACUCUGGAGGAAAAAGACAAGUGCAAAAUUAUAUUAAAAAACCUUAACAUUUAUUGAGGAUCUGUCUUUUAUUUUUUUUAAAAAAAAUUUAGAAGACAAAUGAAAUCCUCAGCAAUCCGAGAAAGUGGUCAAACAAGCCAUUUUGCUGGGAGAGCAAAUAUAUUCAGUCGACCGAAUCAAUAUGAUGAACUUCUAGAAACAACAUAAAGCAAUUAAUUUUUAAAUUUAGAAGUCAUUGAGUAUCACUUUUUUAAUAGGCCUAUAUUACAAUCUACACUAAUUUAGUUGACUAAAUAUCGACAUAUCGUUAAUAUAAAAAUAAUAUAGUAGUGUUGUGAUUGUUGAUGCACCAAAAAUUACAAUAUCAUAUCACUUUUAUUUCAGUAGUAUAUCAAUAUUUAAUCAGAUAAAUUUGGAUGCGGGACUUGGCUACUUGCUUUGUACUUAAUCCCAUACCAUUUGUGUUUUUUUUUUUUUUUUUUUUUUUUUUUUGGAAUGUUACUUCAUCCCCUCUUUUGAUGUUGACUAUUGUCAAUUUGGCUUAAAUUAGCACGCCAUUACAUUAACGGAAUCUUAUUGAAGAAACAAUGGUCACAUAUGAUGCAAAUAUAGUCAAAACAAAAAAGCUUUUAUAUUCUUAGGAAAUUACUUAUAAAAUAUUCGAAUCACCAUCCAAAAUGAAAAAAGAAACUAACCACACAUUUUUCUGGUCCAAGUGGCUUGACAUUUUCAAACAGAAUUUCCAAAUUUAUUUAUUUUAUGAAAAAUAAUUACGUGUAUUAAGUUGAUCUGAAAAACAAAUUAUUCAUUGAGUAUACUAACAUUCAUGCACAUUCACAUGAGUGAUUGAUAUAAAUGACACACAAAACUAACAGGUACUACGAUGCAUACUACGAAAAAAGAUUAAUUCGAUAGAAAAUUAUAAUUAUAAUUGAUAAAAAAAAUUAUUCACAAAAAUAUUGAUACGAUACUUUGUUUACUUUUACGCAGCACGAGAAAACAAAUAGAUAAACCUAAAGCAAUAGAUAACCUGGUUGUCCAAAAGCCGAUCAAGAGGUAGGGAAGUUGGAGUCCUAUAUAUAAACUUAAGUUUGGGACUCUGGUACGUUUGCAUGGGGUUUAUUGUAUAAGGGCAUGUUUGGUAAAAUCGAACUACACUCCAGUGAAGCCGCGAGUUCCGUCUGUACGGCAGAGCUCGACUUUGAGUUCACAUUGGGUGCGAACUUGUGGUUCUGUGAGACGAAUUCGCACGCGCAGACAGUGUAGGCCCCAUGGAGCUCUGCCAUUUCAUCCGUGCGCGAACUUGUGGUUCUGUGAGGCGAAUUCGCAUGUGCAUGCCUACAUUUCGUCCAAACGUCAGCAAAUUUUUGGUACGAGAACUAUGUCACUUCGACCUCGAAUUCGAUCAAAGCAAAUACGCUCUAAGUUGUUUUUUUUUUUUUUUGAGAGAGAGAGAGAGAGAGAAUGGUAGCAUACUAUUCACUUCGUUUAUUUCUCUUAAAAUAUGAAAUAAAUUUAGCCGAAAAUGUGAAACAACAGGACUUUGAACUUAGGAUCUCGAGUAUCAACCACUAAAUCCUCUACCACUUGCGCUAGAGAGAUCAGUAUGCUUUAAGUUGUUGAAAGCAUUAUUUGUGCGACUCAGAGACACACACACACACACACAAAAAGGGAUUUACGGGAUAUUUUCGGUCGGGCCGGACCUUCAAGAGCGACACCCGAACUCGCUUUAUUUUUCGAGCUGGGCUUUGGGCUGGGCUUAGCUCAAGCCCACCCGUUAAGCUCCGAACUCGGACUUUCUUUUCUUGUUAUUUCCAGAAAGAAAAAAAAGAAAAAGAAAAAUGCCCCUCUAUUUACCUAUCAGAAAUCAAAUUUGAUUUUAAAAUAAAUGAACUAUACUUAGCAUAUAGGAGUUUGUAUGUAGCACUGGACAAUUAAUUUCUGACAAAGUUAGAGUACAUUUAAACUCACAAAAUGAAAUCAUAACAGCUUACUUCGGUGAUAUUUUUCCUCCUGUUUUGUCCAUUCAGAAGAUUCUUGUACCUUUAUCUAUCCACUCGUUUUGCUUGUAUGCAGCAAAUGAGCAAAAAAAAAUUAAAAAAAAAGAGUUAAUAUUACUGCUGCUACAUUCGUUGAGUAAAAUGAACUUAACAACGAAAGCACAAAUAAAAAAGACGAAAAAAACAUAAGACCUAAAAAACAGCAAGUUUCUUCUGCAUUCGUCUUGUCCGGUCAGGAUUCUUAUUUCCAUAUUUAAAUAAAUGCCAACAUUUCGCAAACUAACUGAACUUGAGGAUUGAUAUAUUGACAAAUUUAGACAUCAAACACAAUACAUCUUAUAUUAAUCUCAGCUCUUACGCUUAGAUUGAGCAUCACCCACAACGAUCUAGUGGGAUACUAAUAUCGAAAAGCACAUGAGACAAUACAUGAAAUGCACCAUAUCAUCAAGCAUCAUGAGUACAAUUUUUUUCAAUCAUACUAAGAACACAUAUACUACAUCUACUUCAUCGACGAAGACCUCGAAUCCUCUUCGUUUAGCGCGAUCACCGUGGCUAGAUCAUUCCAAGUGUCCACUGGCCCUGGCAGACACCAAUGCAGACAGUCAUUCUGCGGCUUCUUACUAAGAUCGGGAUGUAACUUCCUGUAAGGCCCCGGAUGCCCGUCGGGCCGUAAUAACGAAAGGUGAUACGUAUCGAACAGCUUGAGUCGGGUUCUGUUCUUCGAUCCGAUCGCCGCUGCUUUCUUGAACUCCUCUACCUCGAGCCGCCACAUCAUGUUGUCCGUUGCAUCCCCGUUAAACUCGCCUGCUUUGUACGGCUCAGUCCGAUUACAAACCCCUCCGCUGUACCAUUCUCCAUACUCGAAGUGAUCCGCGAGCCACGUCCGGAACAGGACGAGAGGCUUGUGAUCUGACUCUAUGAUGAAAUUGAACGACAAUUGAAGGGCUUUUCUGUAAGCGUAGUCGAACCCGAGAUCCUUUACGUCCUUUUCGGGGCAGUUAUGGCAUCCGACGAUGGUAUUGUUCUCCAAAUACAUUGUUGUUUUCAGAAACCACUGCCCGCCGGAAAUUAUAAUGUAAUCGAAGUUGCUGUAUUGGUUUGUCCACGUGCUUUCGAGGGCGUCGAGAUGGAGCUUGAUAUCAUAAUUUCGACUGGCAUCGCGGCUUACUUCGGCCUUGAGAAGGAAAGGAGCCCAAAGGAGGGCGAGAGUGAAGUUGUACGAAGGGAAGUACCAUGUUCUCGAUUGAUAGUCUUCGUCGUGGUAGAUGUCGGUGGCUUCUUCCACCUGAGAUCAAAGGACAAGCAUUUGAUCGAGCGUGAGGUAAUUAUUAAAGGUAUGCUGCAUCAGCUUGAACCUAUGGUACAACAACAUGAAAAUUCCAAGGGAACCUACGGUAGGAAUUAAAAGAAAGAUCUAAACUAACAAGCCAAGCAAACUAAAAGACUUAUCCUCAAAUUUUUCGAAUUCAUAGAAGCGAACUUGAUUCAACAAUUUAGCCUAUUGCACUCCAAUUCCAAAUAUAUUUGUGCAAAAGAUUAUCAAAUGAAAUGGAAAACAGAUGCUCGUUCUUUCAUGAAGAAGCAUCUACGACGGGCACCUGCGAGAGAAGACAAAGCCACGAGUUGAGCUGGUUCCUAAAGAUUGAAUCACCGACCAGCCCCCAAGCUUUAUUUCGCAUGGCGUUCAAGAACUUCUCCGCAUUAGCUCGAGGCAAGUCGCAACUCUGUGGUUUCCAUCUCCAAUAAAGGUAUUCUCUGUCGGGCCGCCCAUUCGUCAUGCAAUCAUUAGGAGGGUCUAUAUAUUUGCAGCUCGCAUUGGUGUAAGCCGGCCCCGAAGGGUUCGAGAUCCAACUCCCGGCGAAAAAAUUGCAUCCUGCGGUACCAGUAACACAUGUUGUACUCAUUUUACAGAAUAGCACCAGUUUAUAAGCAAUAAUGAGAAUCAAAGACUAGCAAAUCGAAUUACAAAUAGGUCGUAAAGGUUUCAAUUUUCAGCUUAGGUGUAUAAAAUUGUGCUUGUUAGAAUGCUAAAUAUUAGUCACAGUUUUCUAUUUUCUGUAACUGAAUGCAUUUAAAAGUUUAGCCAAGUUAAAAAAUUUAUCAAAUUUAAUGAAUCUAUUAGCAAUAUAGCCAUUAAUUCUUCUAGCUACAUAUCAAAUCAAUUCAAUUUGACAGUAUAACUAAUUCAAUUUGACAGUAUAACUAAUAAUUAAAUUUGAUAGGAAUUUACUCUAAUUGACUGAAUCACAAGCAGUUAAUUCAAAAACAAAUCAAAAGUUAAAUAUGAAAGCAUAAAUUAGAAACAUAAUAAAGUAAAAGGGGGUCAUUUAAGGUGCCUAGAAACCCUAGGCAAGAGCCCAAGCACAUAGAGGGCUAUAAAAGCCUACAUUUUUUAUCACAACUCGGAUUCAUAUACAGUAAUCCAGGACGUAUAGCACAAGGUGUUUGAGGAAAAGCCCAAGUUAAUUUUUUUUUUUUUUUUAAAAAAGAAAGAAGAAGCCAUUUUGAGAAGGUAAAUGAAUCCCCUUAACCUCCGUCCACGUCCCCAUCGUCGGAGGGAUCCGAGGGGAAAAAGGAGCCCCCGGAGGCGGAGAAGACGAGGUACGCGCAGAAACCGCCGAGGAAAGCGAAGCCCAAAACCUUGGUGAGGGUGUGGUUGGCUAUGGUGGUACUCGGAGGAGAAGACGACGACCCAUCGCCCAAGCACUUCUCCUUCUCCUCCUCCGCCAUGGACAUGGCUCCGAGCUCGGAGAGAGAGAGAGAGAGAGAGAGAGAGAGAGAGGGAGAAGAGCGGUGGAGGGAGAGGGGAAAAAGGGGAGAGUUUUAUAGAAGAAGAGGUGGAAAUGGAACCAAAUAGUUAAGUGAGGCGUUUAAUAAUGCAGAGUUUGCAACACCUCCACACACACACACACAACAGAAUAAAACAAGACUCCAAUUUGCCCUCACAUAAUUUAAAAAAGAUUCAUUGCAUACAAUACAACUCUCUGUAAACGAAUAGUAAAUAUAUUUUUAUAAAAUUUAAUUUUUUAUAUUUAUUUUUAUAAAAAUACUAAUAUUUUUAAGUAUGUCCAUGUCGUUAGAAUCGAUUAGAAAACUUUAGUUAAAUAUAGGUUAAAUGCUUAACUCCGAUUAAUUUAUGGGUGCGUUUGGUUCGCGCUAUAUUUUAAAGAUUCCUAGUAAUCCAAUGAGAAUAAAAAAUUAUGACGGUGUUUGGCUAAACGCACUAAGUAAUCUAGUUGGUAAUAUUGGAUUCACUUGGGAAUAAGAUUCACCNNNNNNNNNNNNNNNNNNNNNNNNNNNNNNNNNNNNNNNNNNNNNNNNNNNNNNNNNNNNNNNNNNNNNNNNNNNNNNNNNNNNNNNNNNNNNNNNNNNNNNNNNNNNNNNNNNNNNNNNNNNNNNNNNNNNNNNNNNNNNNNNNNNNNNNNNNNNNNNNNNNNNNNNNNNNNNNNNNNNNNNNNNNNNNNNNNNNNNNNNNNNNNNNNNNNNNNNNNNNNNNNNNNNNNNNNNNNNNNNNNNNNNNNNNNNNNNNNNNNNNNNNNNNNNNNNNNNNNNNNNNNNNNNNNNNNNNNNNNNNNNNNNNNNNNNNNNNNNNNNNNNNNNNNNNNNNNNNNNNNNNNNNNNNNNNNNNNNNNNNNNNNNNNNNNNNNNNNNNNNNNNNNNNNNNNNNNNNNNNNNNNNNNNNNNNNNNNNNNNNNNNNNNNNNNNNNNNNNNNNNNNNNNNNNNNNNNNNNNNNNNNNNNNNNNNNNNNNNNNNNNNNNNNNNNNNNNNNNNNNNNNNNNNNNNNNNNNNNNNNNNNNNNNNNNNNNNNNNNNNNNNNNNNNNNNNNNNNNNNNNNNNNNNNNNNNNNNNNNNNNNNNNNNNNNNNNNNNNNNNNNNNNNNNNNNNNNNNNNNNNNNNNNNNNNNNNNNNNNNNNNNNNNNNNNNNNNNNNNNNNNNNNNNNNNNNNNNNNNNNNNNNNNNNNNNNNNNNNNNNNNNNNNNNNNNNNNNNNNNNNNNNNNNNNNNNNNNNNNNNNNNNNNNNNNNNNNNNNNNNNNNNNNNNNNNNNNNNNNNNNNNNNNNNNNNNNNNNNNNNNNNNNNNNNNNNNNNNNNNNNNNNNNNNNNNNNNNNNNNNNNNNNNNNNNNNNNNNNNNNNNNNNNNNNNNNNNNNNNNNNNNNNNNNNNNNNNNNNNNNNNNNNNNNNNNNNNNNNNNNNNNNNNNNNNNNNNNNNNNNNNNNNNNNNNNNNNNNNNNNNNNNNNNNNNNNNNNNNNNNNNNNNNNNNNNNNNNNNNNNNNNNNNNNNNNNNNNNNNNNNNNNNNNNNNNNNNNNNNNNNNNNNNNNNNNNNNNNNNNNNNNNNNNNNNNNNNNNNNNNNNNNNNNNNNNNNNNNNNNNNNNNNNNNNNNNNNNNNNNNNNNNNNNNNNNNNNNNNNNNNNNNNNNNNNNNNNNNNNNNNNNNNNNNNNNNNNNNNNNNNNNNNNNNNNNNNNNNNNNNNNNNNNNNNNNNNNNNNNNNNNNNNNNNNNNNNNNNNNNNNNNNNNNNNNNNNNNNNNNNNNNNNNNNNNNNNNNNNNNNNNNNNNNNNNNNNNNNNNNNNNNNNNNNNNNNNNNNNNNNNNNNNNNNNNNNNNNNNNNNNNNNNNNNNNNNNNNNNNNNNNNNNNNNNNNNNNNNNNNNNNNNNNNNNNNNNNNNNNNNNNNNNNNNNNNNNNNNNNNNNNNNNNNNNNNNNNNNNNNNNNNNNNNNNNNNNNNNNNNNNNNNNNNNNNNNNNNNNNNNNNNNNNNNNNNNNNNNNNNNNNNNNNNNNNNNNNNNNNNNNNNNNNNNNNNNNNNNNNNNUUUUUUUUUUUUUUAGAAAAAAUUUUUGUGAACUUAGAGCACUAUAUAUUCAUUAAAUCUUUUGCCACCUGCGCUAAAAGCUGCCGAUAAUCUAAGUAUUAUUAUGAGCCCAGCUCAAGUGCUUUUAGAAGCACCAAAUCUUUGGUGCUAUUAAUUUUUUGGCUUUUAGAUCAUGCAUAACAGAGGCACCCACCAUUAGCCACUAUUAUUAAAUUUUAAUCCAAGGAUCAAAAAGUUAUAAGUAUCAUAAACUUGGUACUUCUAAAAAUAUUCCAACCUAGUUUUAUUAUUAUUCCUAUAUAAAAUAUCUGUCAGUCGAGAAGAAGUGGCCGUAUUUUGUGCAAUUUUAUAUUACAGCAAAAGACUUUUAAGAUUCAAGAGUUUAUUUCUGUUUUUUUAUUGGGUUUCAAAAGCCUUACAAACGGCGAGCUUUCAAUUAAAGCUGUCCAAAAUACUCGAUAUGCCAUACCCGAUCCGGACCCUACUCGGACCCGAUCCGGACCCUACAAAUUUAUCCAUUAAAGUUUCGGGUAUGAGUCUAGAUACUUUAUACCCAUACCCGGCUUGGACCCGAUCCGAACCCAAACUUCUAAUGGGUAGGGUCUGGAAGAGUUUUCAAAUCCGGACUUGGAAUCGGACUCGAAAUUGGGCCCGGUGAAGUACCCAAUAGUAAAUAAAAAAAUGUGAAGUUGAGAGAUCAAUUUCAAUAGGACUUGUAAAUGAAGGAUCUCUGUAUAUUUUCAUCCUAGUGAAAACCCUAGUCUCUUUGUUUACUUAUUUUUUUUAUUUUUAUUUUACUCUUUUUGUUUAAUUCUAGUUGUUUACUCCUUGAAUCUUCCUUUUGAACGAAUUUUAUUAGACUGGCUGCAACUAAUUAGAACGCGGAUUUUUUAUAGUAAUAGGUUUAUACUUUGUCAAUAAACUGUUUAAUAAAACUUAUAAAAAAUAAAUGCAUACGGGUAUCCAUACCCGAUCUAGACCCGAUCCGUACCCGAUCCAUAUUCGGUUUUAAGCGGGCAGUAUACGGGUAGUCAUUACCCAGANAUAUACUAUUAGAAUCGGUUAAAAAAAUAUAGUUAACCAUAAAUAAAAUACUUAAUCUUAGUUAAUGAUGAGAUAAAUUGAUCUUUUUAUCUCUCUUAUAUUAAUUGUGAUAGUGGAAAAAAAAAAAAGAUAAUCAUUGAAACAUUUUGGAUGACAUUUUUGUAUAAUUCCAACCGUUGAAAUUUUUGAAGAAUAUAUUUAUGAUUGCAAAAAUAUUAUUUUCCUUAUCGUCUAUUAAAAAAUAAACGAUAAUUUAUCGGUAAUAAAUCAGAAUGACAACUAUGAAUAUCAUUGAAUUGUUGUGGGGAUUAAUGUUAAAAGUUGAACCUUAUAGAGAUAUAUUUAUUAUUUGAUAUAUUUACAGGAAGCUGUAUAAAAUUAACCCUCUAAAAAUUUAUCACUUUAUAAUUUAAAAAUUACAUGAAAUUGUUUUAUAAUUUUUAUUUUACUAAAAGAAUAUUGUUCAAUAGGAUAUCAUCCUAUAAUGUUUAUGAUAUUUCAUUUUACUAUCAUAUUGACCAUAGAUAUAGAUAUUUCGUUGAAAAAAUAUAUAUAUAAUAAUUUGAUAGUUUACUACAACUUUUCGAGAUACGGAGUAAUAAAUUGUAGUACACCAUAGAAAUACAAAUUAAAGUUAAUCUUAAAUAAAAUAUAAAAAAAAAAUGGUGUUGUCUAUACACUUAUAAUAUAAGUAUAUAAUUUACAUUUUAAUUUUUUAAAAAGUCAAAAUUUGCUUACUUAUCUUAUAGCUUUUAUACUAAAAAAUAAAAAAAAUAAUAAUGGAAGGUAAAAUGUACAAUCUUAAGUACAGGUGUGGAUAGUAUUUUGUUUUUUUAAAUAAAUCUCGUGUAGGAGAUAUUUCUUGAACCGGGCCCACCAUGCUGGCCGUGGACCACUCACCCUUGUCCCAGUCCGAGGAGGCCUUUUCUCUCUCUGUUGAGUACUGUCAAUAGGGAUGCCCGAAUCAAAAUUCAAAUCCCGAUUAUCAAAUUUGAAUUUUGAAUCUGAUAAAUUUUAUAUUCAAAUUCGAAUCCAAAUAAAAAAUUGAAACCCGAAUUCUAAUUCGAAAUAAUUAUUUUUUAACAUAUUUCAAAAUAUAGUAUAUUAAGUUUAAAUUUUAAAAAUAAAAAUUUAAAUAUAUAUCAAAUAUUUAUAUAUAUAUAUAUAUAUAUAUAUUAUAUAAUGUAAAUAUGGCUACAAAAUAAAAAAAUAAUUUAUUUAAAAUAUAAAUAUUAAAAAUAUCACUCUAUAUAAAAAUAAUCAAGUCUAAUCGUAGUCUCGUUGCAAAAAAGUACAGGAAUAAUUUUAAAAAUAUUAUUUUAAUAUAAAAUUGACAUAUUCGAGUUAAUUUGGAAUAUAUCCUAAAUAACAUAGCUAAAAUUUAUUAAUUCUUUUUUAAUGGUAGCAUUCAGAAAGAAAAUUUCUAUGAAUAUUUCUUUAAUAAAAUAAUAAUAUUAUUUUACAAUUGUUACGAAACAUUUAUAUGAAAUAUUUAUUAUAAAUAACAUGUAAUAAAUAAUAUUACUGAGAGAAAUUGUUUUCAUUUUAACCUUUUCUUUUAAUUAAUUUUAUUAGGUAUUAAAGGCGCAUCAGUGAAAGUACCAUCGAAAGCGAAAGUCUACACCCAUCCAUGGAAAAUUAGACCCUUUGGUGCAAUUUCUCUGUGAUAUUUACCGUGCACUCGUGCACGCGUGUGGUGUACGCGUGUGCUUCUCCUUGUUAUGUUAUCGAAUUAAUUAAUUAAUUAAUUAUGGGUGACGAGUCAUCAAUUUAAUUAAUUGCUUUGUUGUUCACUGAUACCUGUAAUAUACAGUGUCGUCGUAACAAAUUAUAUAGCAAUAAUUUAUAGAGAAUAAUAUUUUUAUGUACGAUUUGUAACGUAGGAAUAUAUUUUUUUAGUUCUUUGUGGGUGUGAGUCACGGGAGAAACUGUAAAUUAGUCGAGAGAAAGAACGUAACUUGAAGUCAAAAGGAUUUCCCAAAAAUAUUAUUAUUUUUUUAUUUUUGUGCAAGAUAAAUAGGUUUAAAAUUUAAAUUUAAAUAUUUUUUGAGAGAGAGAGAGAGAGAGAGAGAGAAUUGAGCAUGAUAUCCGGUUCCUUCUUCUUUUUUUUUCUUUUAUUUUUGCGAACUUAGAGCACUAUACAUUCAUUAAAUCUUUUGCCACCUGCGCUAAAAGCUGUCGAUAAUCUAAGUAUUAUUAUGAGUCCAGCUCAAGUACUUUUAGAAGCACCAAAUCUUUGGUGCUAUUAAAUUUUUGGCUUUUAGAUCAUGCAUAACAGAGGCACCCGCCAUUAGAUAAUGUUGUUAAGUUUUAAUUCAAGAAUCAAAAAAUUAUAAGUACUAUAAACUUAGUACUUCUAAAAAUAUUCCAACCCAGUUUUAUUAUUAUUUAUAUAUGAAAUAUCUGUUAGGCGAGCAGUGGCCGUAUUUUGUGCAAUUUUAUAUUACAGCAAAAGACUUUUAAGAUUCAAGAGCUUAUUUCUGUUUUUUUAUUGUGUUUCAAAAGCCUUACAAAAGGCGAGCUUUCAAUAUCCCAGGAUUUAAUUUUGUUAGUGCUUAGUAGUUGCUCCUUAAGCAUGUUCUAACUGACCUUUUUAGUUGCUCAAACUCUUUUUCUUAGGAUGCUUCACAAAAGCUGUUCAAUUUGGAUGCUUCCCCACAAUAAUUAGUCUACAUGACACCAAAAAGAGAAAUAAAAAAAGAAGCAAUACAUGGGUAAUUGGAACCAUGUCCAUUAUCAAUGUUUUGGAAAAUAGAGGCGCUGCAAUAUGCACAUGUGACACAUGAGAUCGUUCAAGCAUCACUGGCACCAACAGGAUUUGUGUGAAGCAUCCCAUGUACAGCAAUUUGCACAAAUAGUUUUUCAUAUAUUGGCUAAAUUUUAGAAAAUUUUUCAGUCAAUAUUCAUUUUUUUAUUUUAUCUUCCUGUUAUUUAAAAACCUACACUUUGCCCCUUAAAAAAUAAAAACUCUUUACUUUCACCCCCGCGUGUUCCGUUAGGGUUCCGUUUAUAUUCUAUUUUUUAUGCCUAAAAUACUGAUGAAACCCUCCUCCUUCCUCAUCCUCGGCCGCGCCGUCUCGCCCUCCACCGCCCCGUCUCGCCCUCCGCCGCCUUGCCCUCGCCUAUCUCUCUGUCCAUGCCAACACACACGCCCUCGCCCGCCUCCGCGGCCUCACUCUCACCCUCGCGCACUUCUCCGUUUAUGCCCACUUCAAAAAAGAUGAUGGACAAUUUGAUCAUUUUGUCACAGCGUAUCUUCCUGUGAACAUUUUUUAUUUUUGAAGAGGAUAAAGUGUAGAAUUUUUAAUGAUAGAAGAAAAAGGUGAAAAAGCGAGUAUUGACAGAAUAAUUUUCUAUAAUUUAGCCUUUCAUAUUUGUCUCCUUUUAGCUCUUGCUUAUCUUGUAAAAUACCUUUUUUUUUAUUUAUCUUUUCUUCUAUUUAUUCUAAUUUUACUUUUGUAGAAACUCAGCUAUACCAAAUAGAUACUCACUCAGUAUUGGUCGAAACUGCACAUCGCUUUAAGAAUCUAAUAUAAUAAGCCUAUACACGAGUCACAAAUUUAAGAGCACGCUUGUUAGAAGUUCUGAUAACUUAAUCGCAAAAUACUGGUGUUUUAGUUGUCAAUAAAGUCCUGUUCUUGAGACUGACAUGCGCUCUAUUGUUUAUGUACUACAUCAAGGAAGAAUCUGUGCACAGAACUGUGGCUUCUUUUUAGAAAAAAAAAAAACUUAAAUAAGAUGCACACCAUUGUCUCUUUUUAGAUUCCAUCUAAAUCUGCAGUUCAAUAAGAUGUUGAGAUUCAGACUAAAAACUGUGGGUUGGAACAAAUUUUCUGUAAGUAAAGCAUCAGUCGUUUACAACCAAACUCUGUACUAAAAACAUCAAAAACUGAGGUUGUCAUUAUGACCAAUUCUCAGCUCAAUCCUAUGCAAUAAAAUUAUCACAAUGAGAUCGUAAAUGGAAUAUACACAGUUGAUAAACAGAUAAACAAUGGUAUUACAAGCUGAUCAGAUGCAAUUCUUUAAAUAAUACAACAGCGAAAGAACCUACAAAAACUAAACCAUACACCUUUAGAACGGCGUAAGAGAUAAGGUUGAAUGAUAUAUGAUUGCGCGCAUAUGCCAUCAUUUAUCCGCAUUGAUAGAGAUUCCAGACAUAGUUCCAAAAAGGAAACAGCAUUGGUGAGCCUGCCAGAAAAAUUAUGCAUUAGAUGCCAAGCGACGAUGAACUAUUUAUAGUACGCAAUGUGACUACUGAAAAUUUUGGUGUUAUUAUAUAACAACUAGGGAAGAUUCAUACGACGGCAUUAAUAAAAAUUACCUGUUUCCACCUUCACCAGUCGGCCACUUCAUCGAAGUUUGUCGAUCUUGCAGUUACAUUUGAUGAGAAUGAAUACCAAUGAAGGAGAGCCACCGUUAAGAGUGUUUUGUCAGCUAAUUCAUCUCUUCGGGAACUUCCAUGCCAAAUCCACGUUUUAGUUUCUCAACUCUGAUUAAACAGGAGAUGGAUAUUUAGAAUAUAGCAAAAUAUAUGUAAGCAAGUUAGUUUAUCGAAACAUGAAUCUAGAAAAAAGAAAACAUUGAAAUACUGCUAGAAAACUGCCGUGAAACUUACGUUGGUGCAAGCUUGCCGAGACUGCGCAACUUCUUGCCAGAUGCCUCAUCAAUAAUUUUUCCCGAAAUCUCAACAACGUAAGAUUGCCCAGUAAUAGGCGGAAGUCCUCUUUUUACGAGCAAUUCCAAAUCUUUUUGAUGAAGUUCUCUCCCAUUUACAAAGACUCCAGUGUCGCCAUCAGCGCAGUUUCUACGCAUGGGAUAAUUGAAUUCUCUUAUAAAGGGCUGCAAGUUUUAAACCAUUUUGUAAGUUCAAGGCUUAAUCAGAAACUGGGAUAAUAUUAUUCAAAGAAGGUGAACUUACAGGAAUAAUGCCAAGACAUUCGCGCCCCAUGACGCCCCAAAAUCCCGCAUGGUAGUCAUACCUAUUUCAGAAACAGGGAAAAUAUGAGCCAUUCUAGAUGAUCACCAAUUGUCAAGGUGUUAGGAUAAAAUAUAUGCAGAAUAAAUGUUGUGCUUCUUAUAUCAAAACUUUAACAACAGCAGAAUAAGCCAAUUGCAAGAGACUACUGUUAAAUUUGCCAAACAGCAAUUUAGAAGUUCCCGACAUACAUAAAUUACAAAAGAAGUAAAAAAUUAAAGGUUUGGCAUAAUAAUAGUAACUACAAAAAUUACUGUAGCCGAUUCUCCUAUUGAGACUUGUCCCACAGUUAUAAACAUGCUCUUCUUCCUUUAGAAUGGUAUGCAGGUACUGUAUCAUAUAGUAAAAAUAGAAUAUUGCUAAAAGAAGUCAAAAUAUUCUUAAAUUUAUAUCUGUUUGUACUGACAAAUAGCAGCAUAUGCCUGGUAGUUCUUAAGGUACUUAUUUAUCAGGACAAAAUAUAUGGAGCAUAAAAAUUUGUUGUCUAUAUGAAAAUGCAAGCGACAGCAAAAUAUAAAGCUCAUCAGUAGACACUGAAUUUAUGUGGAGAAAGGACUCACCAAUAAUCACCAGGAUCGACAGGUCCAGCCUUCUUUUCAGCCUUCUUUAGCGAGCGAUCAGAAAUAGGGUAACCAUUAACUGAAACUUUAGUUCUACUUCUCUCGACAGACUGGUUGAAUAAAGAGAAGUCCUUGAACCGCUUCUUGAAAAUACCAGCAAAAGAUGAAUCACCAUUCUUAGCAAUCGAAGGCUGAUCUUCUCCUCGUCGUAGUUCACGAGAAUCUUGGGAAAACCCAGAAUGCGAAUAUUCACUGCCCGACAAAUUCAUCUCACUUGACACUCGAAAAUCAUCAUUGGAUUGCCGCCUAAAAUCAUCAUUAAUGUCGGCAGCAUCCGUGUGGUCAAAAUUUUCGCUCAUGUUUUCCUCAUCAAAACCAUCAAUUUCCUGAUUAAUGAAUGGAUAACAAGAAUAAUCACGGAGGGAUGAAGCACGCGAAGCCAUUUGGCCAUCAAAUGGCAAUUCAGUGUGACUAUCUGAAUCUCUUUGACAUGUUACAUUCUCUGGGCUCUCCACAUCCCUAGAUCGACUGGAUGAUUUGGAUAGGCCCUCCAUUUUCUCUGAAUAGCUCAUGUUUAUUCCACAUUCUCUAUCUUCUAUUUUAGAACUUGUUGUAGGAGAAACUAAAUGGAUGUUAUCUUGUCGGCUAUUAUAAUCUUUGGAGUAGGAGACAAGACAAUCUCCACCAUCAUGAUCCUCACAUCCUGAAUCUUUGUUACUCUUUGGGCUCUCUACAUCCUUACGCCUACUGUAUGAUUUGGGCAGGCCCUCCAUUUUCAGUGAAUAGCUCAUGUCUACCUCCCGUUCUCUCUCGGUCACUUCAUAUCUUGUUGUAUGAGAAGCUGAAUCGUCUAAAUGUAUAUUAUCUUGUGAAUUAUCAUAAUAUUCAGAGUAGGAAUGGAUAGGGUUUACACCAAUAAGCUCCUCAUAUCCUGAAUCAUUUUUAGCCUUUGGGCUCUCCACAUCCUUACAGCUACUGGAUGAUUUGGAGAUGCCCUCCAUUUUUGCUGAAUAGCUCAACUCGUAUUCUCUUUCUGUCAUUUGGCAGCUUGCUGCAGGAGAAACUGAAUCAGCUAAAUGUAUGUUAUCUCCUCGACUAUCAUAAUCUUCAGAGUAGGAGAUGGCAGGGUUUCCAUCAAAAAUAUCUUCAUAGCACAAAGUUUGGUUAUUCAGGCUAUUUGAGUUUUCGCUAGUUUCAUUCAUUGGCAUGGGUGGUUGGGAAUCGAACAAUUUAAAUGUUUUUCCAUCAUGCUUGAAUAUCAUAGUUUGAGAGCAUGAUCCGCAACGCAGCUUAUUCUUUCCCUUAGGCAUGUCGAGAACUUCCAAAGGUAGCUGCAGCAAUUCAAAACAAUUAUGACAUACAAUGAAAGGAGCAGCGCCACCUAUAGGGCGAAAAGAGCGUUCAGGCCUCUUCCUAAGUAAUGCUGCCCUUCUCUUAGUUUGCAACUCGUGAGAAUGUAAGGGCGAAUUCGUAGACCUUUCAUCAUAAUCUGAACCAGGCAUUGAAGAUCUAUCAACAGGGUAAAGCCCAUACUUUUCUUUGAAAUAACUAGCCCUCUGAUUAGUGACGUAAUUAAGAGGAACUUGCCUUGGUGGUAGCAAAUGUUGGCCGUAGCAAUGCAAACACGAGCACACACUCUGAUGGUAUGAACUAUCAUAAUGAUUAGAAAAGACAGGACUUGGAUCUAAAUGAGUAUAACGAUAGUUGUGUUGUGUUCUUCGGCUAUACGGCACCCUUGGAAAUCUAUCCCCGUAUUUGGGGAAGCCAUUCAGAGAAUGUGAAGGGCAACAACAAUUCGAAACACUCAUAUCACGCUUUUCUGCACAAUGUGAAUGGCACGCCGGAACGCGAUGCAGUGGUGAACGCUCUCCUGGAAACCCAGUUCGACGGCUUUUAUCGUUGAACGAAGACGAGGCCGUUCUUCUACUUACCGGCCUCCUCUCUUUCGGCCUAUCGGCAAUUUCGCAAGAUCGACUAAUGUGGUCUCUCAGCUCAUCGAGCUUCCUUAGAAGUUCAACGCGAUCUUGGCCGGGAGAGUUAACCCUACUUGUUCCAACCCAGUUAUGAUUCUUCAAAAGGUUCCUCACUAUGUUCUCUUUGGUCAAUUCCUCAAAAUCGGAGGCGGAAUCAUCGCCCAUAGCAUCAAAAAUUGCAGUUUUGGGUUCUCCAAUUACAUCCUCAUCCCCAACUACAGAUUCAGAAUGACUAUAAUCACCUUCCCUUGAAUUCACCAUCACCAUUUCCUCCCGUGUAAAUCCACUUUUCCUUUCCAAACAAUUAUCCAACUUACCGAAGUAAUCGACAUUACCUUCACCAGAUCUCUGGGGCAAAGAUCCCGGCGGCGGAAUCGGCUUCUUCGCUGUAUCAUCACAAGCAGUAAAAACCAACAAAACUGUUUACAUCGCGCAUCAAUAGAAGCACAAAACACCAAAGUUCUCAAAAUUUGCUAGGAAAAAUCCUAACUUCGCUCUCAAAAUACAACUUUUAACUAAGCCAGACGCUAGAUUCGUACCUUGGAGUGCCGCAUUGCAACCCCCGCAACGAUAAAGUGCUAAAUUGGGGAUCUCCGGGAGAAGCUUGUCACAAUUAGGGCAACGCACCACUCGAACCCUAGCUUCGCCUCCUCCUCCACCCAAGUGCGCCAUUGCUGAGCUUCUCUACUCAGUAGUUCUCACAAGCGACUGCGAAAUGGUGGAGAGAGAGAGAGAGAGAGAGAGAGGAGAUCGUUUGAAGCAGGGCUUUUUUUUGCAAAUAGCCCCAUGAGCAAUUUUUAUUUUAAAAAUAGUCCUAUCAAAAUUAAAAUUGCAAAAAUGGCCCUGUCUCUGCCACGCAGGCGCCACGUCAGCGCCACGCGGGCAGGGCUGGGCCAGGGUAUUAAGUUGAACACGGUGAAUAAUUCACCGUGUCUAAAUACGGUGAAUGGUUCACCGUGUUUCUUACGUAUUUUUUAUAUAUUGAAAAGUGGAAUAAGGAGUAGAGAUGUCAAUAGGUAUGGAUAUUCGAAAUAUUAUCCGAAUCCAAACCCGAAUAAAUUAUAUAUAUAUACAUAUAUAUAUAUAUAUAUAUAUAUAUAUAUAUAUAUAUAUAUAUAUAUAUAUAAUUUAUUCGGGUUUGAAUUCGAAUAAUAUUUCAGAUAUCCAUACCUAUCGACAUCCCUACUCCUUAUUCCACUUUUCAAUAUACAAAAAAUACAUAGCAAAAAAUACGUACUAAACACGGUGAACCAUUUACCGUGUUUGAACACGGUGACGGGCCCAACCCUGCCCGCGUGGCGCUGACAUGGCGCCUGCAUGACAGGCCCAGGGCCAUUUUUGUAAAUUAAAUUUUGACAGGACUAUUUUUAAAAUAAAAAUUUGUCAAGAGUCUAAAUGCAAAAAAAGCCGUUUGAAGCAUGAUUGGUGUGAAAGAGUAUAAACAAAGGAAGAGGAAGGUGAGUGUUUUUUUCUUAAAAAAAAAAAAAAAAAAUCUUUGAACUAUUCUUGGUUUUGCAGAUGAAGUUGGUGGAGAAAUUCUAGAAAAUGUUGAGAAUUUUUAAUAAAUUUUUAAUGCAUGUUUACCUUUUUCAAGUAAUUUCUUAUUUUUAAAUUUAUAAUUAUAUAUACUUAUUAUAUUCCCAAAUAGCAUACUCUCUAGAGAAAAGAAAGGACAAUAGUAAACUUUUAUAUUUUCAUUGCUUUUACAUGGUUUGAUUAUUUCAUUUUGUGUUAAUGAAUCUUAAUCAAGCGAAAAAGUAUGUUAAUAACUUAUUAAUCACGCAAACCACCAAUACACACGGUACGAACAAAAGGGCUUAUGAAAAAAUAAAGGCAUGAAUUUGGUAAAAUCAUUAAAUACUUAAUUUUGAUAUCGAAACGUGCAUAAAUAUAUAUAUCUCAAGUAACAUACGUAUUCAGAAAAUUACUUUAUUAUAAGAAUAUUGGCAUUAACCGGAUGAAUUGACAUAGUCUCUCUUUUAUAACAUUCCAAGAACUAUUUGUAAAUUUAGUCUCUAAAUUUGAUUGAAAUUUUAAAUUCAUACUUAGAGUGCGGUAUAUAUCAAAAAAAUUAUUUGCCAUGAAGUGUAAUUUAGCUUUCAAAUUUAUCCUGAAUAUCAAUUUCAUUAUCAAAGUUUCAUUUCGCAUCUUAUUCUUCGAAUAAUGAACAGACUUAAUUGUUAUACAAAACCAACUCCGGAGAUAAAACUGUCGAAACCGAAACUACAAGAAUACAAUUUAAAUAAAAGUCAAAGAUUAAGAAAUAAAUUUGCAAUUAACCAAUUGCAAAUGUAGAUCAUGGACUAUUGGAAUGUGUCACAGGCGUAAAUUGCAUAGCUUUGAAACAUUCAUUCAUAUAUAUAUAUAUGAAACAAUUGUCAAAAAAAAAAAAAAAAAAUGCAAGAUCCAGUUUAAGAAGAGAUAUAUUAAUAACCAAGUCAAAGUCUCAAAAACACAGCUGUUUUUGGUGAGCUUUCAAACUCAUUAUAAUAACUCAAUAUGAAUUAUAAAAUCCAAGCAAUAUAUUGUUUUUUUUAAUUAGGUGGCAAAAAUAAAUGCUUGUAGCAUGUGUGGAUCUUGAAGAAGCAUUGCAAAAGAGCAUGUGGAAUUGGUCAUAUUGUGACAACUAAUAACUGGUUGGAGUGGGAGUUUAAUUAGAAGGUAAAUGGUUGAUGAUUAGAUGACUCAGUCACUUACAAUUAAAGUUCAUAUGUUUAAGCAUUGGAUAUUAAUUUGAUUUAUUGAGUAAUUAACAAAAUAUACAAAAAAAAAAUGGCCAUUUAAAUACCAAAUUAAAAAAGAACAUCUAUGUUUAUUUGUAGAGAGGGUUCUAAUUCAAAAUAGUUACAGCUUAUCCAUUUGAUAGAGUGUUUAUAAUGCAUGAAAUAUGUUUACAAAACUUCAAUUAUUUUCUUAUUAUUUAUUGUUAAAACCAACCAUGGGUUCUAAGCAUAAGGUGGUUUAAUAAUUUUCACCAAAACUGCUUUUUUAAAAAAAUCUUAGAUUGAAAUGUGAGACUUUUGAGUUUUACCAUAGCGUACGUCCACCGCCAAACUUUGAUUUUUACUAUAAUUGAUGCAUUAAACUACCGUAAUUUUGAAAUUGUCGAAAUAUGAUUAUUCAAUUGCAUGCGUGGAUCCAAAUUCGAUGUUAUUUCAGUAACAUUUCUAAAUCAAUUAGAAAACUUGACAAAUGACUGAACUGUUAUAUCAUACUGAUGAGAGAAAAUUAAGUAAAAAUAACAUUUUGUUUUUUGCAUGAAGCUCUUCUUAUGUGCAACAAAAAAUCCAAACAGGCUAGCUAAUGGCCAUAGUUACGAGAAAACAAAAAUUAAAAGAUAAAAUGGACCACUUUGUUGUCAUUAAAACGUAUCUUUCUAAGCAAUGCUAUCUGUGUACUCCUAGAUUAGGCAUAUAUCUUACACCCCACUCAUCAGGAGAUAUAUUUUCUACUUAAUUAUUCUAAGGAUUCACAAGCCUCAGGAUAGAAGGGUUGUAAAAUUUACACCUAAGCGUACGUAUACAAAUAAUAUUUUUCUAUGGUUUUAUCUUCGCCUUCGCAACAAAUGUAGCAAAAACAAAAAAGGGAAAAUAAAAGACAAAUGACAAAACAAAGACAAAAAAACAAAAAAGAAAAAUCCAAUGAAACAACUACUAAAUCUUACAAGAUAAUGGUGAUUAAAAAAAAAAAGAAAAUCUUUUUGCAUUUUAAUAAUCAUUAGUUUAUUGAAUAUGAAUUUGGAGACUUGGCCAAACAAGAAGGACAACACAAGAUUACUUGGGUGGUCGGCAUGGUAGUUAGCCACAUGCAUAUGUUCAACUAAGUCACACACAAGUUAGGCCAAGCACAAAGGACUACUCUAGUUAAGCCACUAUAGUUAUAUUAAUUUUCUUUGAUUAAUUAAAAUAAAAUUUGGUUAUCAAGAUUCUUAUAAGUUAAUCUAUGGCGUCAUGGUAAAUAAUGCGAAACAAUUAUUUUCUCUAAAAUUUAAGCUAGCAAAGAAUGAUAUUUUUAUACUAAAAAGUCAGCAUAAUUCAAAUUCAGACUUUUCUGCUUUGAUACCAUAUUAAACAACACGAAACGAUCUACCGUUAUUCUUUAAAAGCUUAAACUAGUAGCGAACGAUAUUUUUAUAUUUUUAAUACGCCAUGUAAAAUAUUGAAACGCCAUUCCCUAACAAUUUAAGCUUUCAGAAACAAAAAUUCUGAGUAAACAAUCCUCGAGUCAAAAGAAAACAAGGAAUUUAUUCACACUUCUUCUCAUUUGAAUACUCUCUAUUUCUUCACACACCAUAAUUUGGUCCAAGGAUUAUAAUUUUGCUUGUUCCACUAAAAAUAUAUAUCUAAAUUUUAUGUUAUUUUUCUCUCGAACCUCAUCUCUGUACAGAAGAAUUAUAAAUUCUAACAACCGAAAGUAGUUGAUUUAUCUGCCAAUCUAUGAGAUUAACUUUCUAAAAUUAAUCACCACAUUUUUAUGAUGUUUCACAGAUUAAAUUUAGGGGAUAGGUGAGGAAUUUAUAGUCAUAAAAUUCAAAAUUUUAGGUGAUCAACGAUGCUUUAGCGAAAAGUUAAUGUUGUUUCAAUGUACCAUUUCUUCAUUUAACCGAAAAACAUUAGUUGUGUGGUUGAACAAACCUAGUAGGGUAUAAUGAACAUCAAAAAGGUUACAAGAAUUGUAGUCACACCAAUUCAAGAAACAUUUACAACAUGCUCACCAAAUAGAGGUCUAGAUCCUAUCCCCCUCUUUUGACCACAAUUUUAUCAUUUAUUUAAUGAAUGCACCUGUCACUGUCCCCACACUUAGCCAAAUCAAACAUCUCCUUAAUUUAUAGAUGAGGAACACAACACAUAUGGUUUGAGCCAUCUCUUUAUUGGAUACAUGGAGAGGCACCAAAAUAACAAAGAAGAAGAAGAAGAAGAGAUUAGGCUCUCAAUAUGGGAUUGUGGGAGCCCUUUAUAUGACUCCUAUGAGCUUGCCUCUCUUUGUAGCCUCAUCGACCGCCACGUCGUAGCAUUGCCGUCGUUCUCGGAGGGCUCUGGUGCAAAGUUUGCCGGCCGGUCGCGAGGAGAGUUUAGCGAGAGCGCGAGGAGAAGGAAGUUGAUGGUUGUUGCGCGGAAGGAGAAGAUAGAGGAGGAGGAGAAGAAGAUGAGUAAGGCGCGAUUGCGCGCUGUUUUCAAAGCCAUUGUUUUCUGGAGAAGAUUAUAAGAGGUUUAGUCUUUGCCACUCUGAACAUCUUACAUGUACUAGGAGCCAAUACAUAUAUAACUUUGUUAAGAAUCUAAAAGGGAGGCGUGUUUAUAUAUCUUUGUUGAAGAAAAAGAAAAAAUAAAAGGGGUGAAAAUGAGAGAUGUAAAGAGGAAUGAUGGAUAUGUGGAUUUUUCUGCCUCUUUUUUUUUUUUUCCCCAGCAAAAAAGAUUAUAUGAUCUAAUGUUGUAAUGGAAGAUAAUAAUAACAGGAGCCAUUCAUUUAUUUGACACUUUGAUAUAUAUAUAUAAACACAUCUCUAUUCCAAUGCAUUCAUAUUCUAAAAAUCUUGAUAUUAAAAUGAUUUAUAAGUUAAGCUAAAUUUCAUUUAUCAUAGUUAAUUCUUUUUUGUUCCAAACACAAUCGCUUUUAUAUUUUUAUCACAUCUAGGAUAUGCGGUCCUUUUGGCGCCGACUUCUAGUAUUAAGGUGUGGUUCAAGAUCAUGAGCAGUAAAAAAGGAUCUUCGAACUCAGAGGUUUUUGCACGGUUCACAGUAAAAGCAAGGCCAAACAAAUAGGAGAAUAGUUUGCUAUUAAGUAACUAGGCCAUUCAACUAAUGGGUCGGAUCCAGCCCUUAGUCCAUAAGAUCCAACUUGUUUUCGGGCCCAAUCAAAACCCUGAAGUCGCAGAACCAGAUGUGUGUAAAAGGAGUCGGUGACGAAACUACCAGUUUCGCCGAUUCCAUGAGGGUCCGAAUGAGGGAACCUAAUAGUAAUUUCUAAAAUCGUUGACGACACACCUGCGAUUGCCGACUUUAACCUACGAAUUUUAUAUUGGGCUGCUAAUGGGCCUAACUGUGUCUUCUCGGAUUGGGCAUGGGCUUUUACAAAAUGGGCCAAGGCGGUUUACGCUCAAUUGCAUGUCCACGUGUGUUGGCUUCUAAAAUAACUUCUCUACUCGCAAAGCAGAAGCCGGAACGUUCAACCGUAAAAUUAUAUUUUAUCAAAAUUUGAAAUGGACUCGCCAUAACCAGAAAUUCAGAAACUCUAGUUUGAAGCUACUUACUUUUAGAAACUCGAAUUUGUAGUAGAAUCAAAAAUAUCAUAUUAAAAAUUUUAUUAUUAUUAUUAUUAUUAUUUGCCAAAUCUAUAUACUAUACAUGAUAGAGGAACCUGAAAAGCGUACGGCCGCGCUCUCCGGUUUGGAAGGAAUUCUACACUAUCACAUUUGCACUACGUCAUUAAUAACAAGCCAAUCACAUUCCUUCUUUUUAAAUAAAAGUACAAUAAAAAUAUUUUUUUACAAUCAUGAUGGGACAUAUACCUCUAAAAGAAGAUAUUUGAUUGAUUUGUUACGCCACGUCACCAAUAUACCCGUUGCAUUCUAGAAUUUUUCCCGGUUUGGGGGCAAAAAGUUGAGGCCCACUUUUUCAUUCCUCUCUCUUCUAAAGGAACCUUUUUUCUUUUUUUUUUUUGGCUACAUAAGAUCUAAAGCUUCAUUAAUAAUUAAUAUAAUAAAGUUAAAAUUUCAUACAAUCUAUAAUAUAUAAAAAAAAUCUAAAUAUANAAAUUUAAUUAAAUUUUUAAAUAAAUUUAUUAGAAUAAUUUAAUUAUAUAAAUAUUAAAAUUGUGGAACUUGGAAAGCAGAACAGUUAUGCACCCAGUAUAUAAGAUAUCCUCACAAAUUCUUUAAUUUAACUUUAACAUAGAUAAAGUUUAGCUUUAACAAGAUCAAGUCAUCUAAUAUAAGUCCUCCAAUUUUAAUUCUUUAGUUAAAAAUUUAUUUAUAAAAUAACUAUCAAAAUUAUUAAAUUUAAUUAAAAUUUUAAAUAAAGUUAUUAGAAUAAUUUAACUAUAUAAAUACUAAAAGUUAAAAAAAUUUAAUUUUUGUAAUGCACAUAAGACUAUUUUAUAGAUUUUUUUUUCCUUUAGCUAUAGUUUUUUAUUUUAAAAUUUUAAUAAAUAUGUACAUAUUAAUUGGUUGAAAUAUUAUCUACUUAUUGCGAAGCGAAUUUUUUUAUAAUUUUAUUUUAGAUCUUCUCGAGUAAAUUCAAAAAUCUCUUUGGUAAAGAAAAAAAAAAAAGAAAAAGACCUUUUAGGUAACAAGGAGUAUUUGACUGCUAUAAUUUGUUCUUUUUUAAUUUAAAAUAUGUGAAUUCUUUUUAUUCUUUGUAGCCGCAUCGAAAGUUCGGCAUCAGAUACCAAAGAAGAAUACAGAUGACGGGAAAAAAAUAGUUUUUAAAAAUCAAAUAUGUUUUUUGUAAGAUGCAUUAACUUUUGUAAUAGAUGGUUGGUAUUAACCUUUUCCUUUUUCAAUAAAUUGUAUUAUUUUAUGUUCUAUCUCUUUUCGUUAGAUGAUAUUUUAUAUAAUUAUAGUUUUAGCUAAUAUUGUAGAAUCUGUGUAAUACACAUAUAUGCUGCAUGAUUAGAACCUCAAAUCAAACAAUAGAUGAUUAUGUUUUUAGACAUUUUACAUUAUCGUUUCAAAUCUUUUCAUAUUAUUUGCCAAAACGUAAUAAAUCAUAUAUGAACUUAUGUACUUAUAAAAUUAUACAUGUAUUAAAAAAGUAAAUAUUUUUAAAAAUAAAAAUAUUAUUUUUUCGUCGUAUCGUGCGGGCUCUAAUUUAUUACUAAAAUAGAAGGAGAAACAAAAGUCCUUAUUAUUAAAGGCCUUUCUUUUGGCCCUCGCUCAUGGCUUAUCCAAACCUUACUCUUACGUAGUUUUUUUGUUGUAGGUUUUGAUCCUUUUGAAUUAAAAAAAAAAAAGUUAAUUUCGUAUAGGUAUCUGUAAAUAUAGUAAAUUAUAUAUAUAUUUUUAUAAAAUUUAAUUUUCACAUAUUGUCUUUAUAAAAAUUCUGAUGUUUUCGAAUAUGUUUAGUCUGUUAGAAAAAAAUUAGUUAACCGUAGAUAAAAUACUUAAUCCUAGUUAAUUAAUGAGGUGAAUUGACCAUUUUACCUCUCUUCAAUUAACAGUUGAAAUGUUUAGAGGGACAUAUUUGUUAUGACAAAAAGGUCAUUUCAUUUAUAAAAUAAACAGUAUUUUAACGGUAACAAAAUAGAAGACCAUACUUGAAAAUAUUAAAAUUUUUAUAAGAAUAACAUAUAAAAGUUAACUUUAUAAGAAUAUAUUUAUAAUUUAUUAUGUUUGCAGGAAUCCGUGUAAUAUUAACCCUAAAAAAUUUCAAAAAAAAAAACUAAAAAAAAAAUCUAUAGAGGUAUCCGCAGCAGCCCCUCACGUGUGCAUAUCCAAAUGACAAAUCCAAACGGUCAAAAGUCAAAACGUACAACAUUGUCCUGAUCUUCUACUCGUAUGAUUCUAUAUCUUAACCGACUUAUUGUAAUAUAUGUAAUAAAAUAUUAUUUAUAAAAAUAAAUAUAAUAUUUUUUAUCAUGAUAAAAUAAAUAUAAUAUUUAUUUUAUUAUACUUUCUCACUAUAAAUGAUAUGAAUUUAUUUGCAAUACCAAAUGGAGCCUAAAAAUCUAUGAUUUAUUUUAUUGUAGUGCACUCAAUCUAUUUGAUUUAUUGCUAGAGAGCCUAUUAUUUAGGCCUAUCAAAAAAAUGUAAGCAAUACUAUCCAUACAUUUUAAAAUUAGUGUAAAUUUUACACCUCACUUAUCUAAUGUGUAAAGCUUUUUCAUCGAUCACCUCAAUAUAUCUGAUGAGAAUACAUCACAAGAUAUACACUUUAAAUGGCAUGUAUAAGCAGCAUUUUUCUUUCUUAAAAAUUAUAUUUGAUGAAUUUUGUAGGCGGAAUAUACGUUCUUUGUACUUCACAAUAAUUUAUUGCAACAUCCAAAUAGAGCCCAAAGUUUUUGCUAUCAUAAGGCACUAAAGUAAAUAAUUACAAAUUUAUAAAUAUCUAUUAAAGAUGAAAAUCUAACUGUUUGAAAGCAAAUGUUGAUUACUGACAUGAAAACCUAACUUUUCUCGUGAUUAAUUAAUAAUUUAAUACCAUAAUUAAAAUUAAAUUUAGACUUUAGUUAAUCUUAAUUGUUCCCACCUGGGAACAAACUUGUUCCAAGAAAAAAGGUGGAACAACAGUUCCAACCUUAUAUCAGCUUAUUUCAGAAACUCAAAAUUUACUGUUCUCGAAUACCAAACGCAGCGUUAAAAAAAAAAAAAAAAAAAAAAAAAAAAAAAAGACUCUGUCCCCUCCCAGCCUCUUUGUUUCCAAACCAAACACUGCCUAUUUGUUUGGGAGAAGUCCUUUCUUGGUUGGUAGGGGUAAAGGACUUUUCUCCUAAUGAAAGGGCAAAAGCAAGAGAACUAGAUCUAACCACCACUUUGCUAGUGUGUCUCUGGCCCAUCUCUUUUCCCUUUUUUUGAAUACAUGUGGUGGGGACUAAAGCUUAAAGCUCAACCUGUUUGUGACCUAAUAUUUGAAAACUAUAUGUCAGCAAAUUUCAUCCAUUUAUUUACACAUUUGAGUGGGCUUUCGAAUAAGAAUCAGAUCACUUGUAUAAAUCAAUCAGAUUCCCUUGGUCACAUUCGAACCUCUUUAUAUAUUCUUUAGGGUUAAUUUCACCUACCUAUAAACAUAUUGAACGGUAAAUAUAUCCCUACAAAGUUCAACUUUCAUAUAUUGUUCCUAUAAAAGUCCUUAUGUUUUCAAAUAUGUCUUUCUGAUUUGUUACCGUUAAAGAAUCGUUAGAGAACUUUUUAUAUUUUUAAUUUUACCAUCACAAAUAUCUUUCUUCCAAAAUCAUAACAAUAUAACAUAAAUGUGUAAAAAUGUCAAAAACUAACUAGGGUUAAGUAUUUAAUCUAUGACUAACUAAAUUUUUCGAACGGAUUCUAAUAGCAAAAAUAUAUUUGAAAAUAUCAGGAGUUUUAUAAAGACAACAUAUGAAAAUUGAACUUUAUAGAGAUAUAUUUGUUAUUUACUAUAUUUGCAGAGACUUGUAUAAAAUUAAUCUUAUUUUUUAAUAAAACUAAUCUUAUUUUUUAAUAAUA